GUCUCUCUAUCUCUCUUUUUCUGAAUUUGUGAAAAACAAUUGACCCAGUUAUGAAGCACACUGAGUGAUUAAACACAAAUGACUACAAGAUGGAGCAGAGUGAAAAAAAAAAAAAAUUACUGAGAGUGGGUAGAGAAUAAAACAGAGACAGCGGCACAGCUGGACACAACUAGAUAGAGAACAGAGGAAAACCAAAUAACAAGACUUAAGAUUACAGCAAACAGAGGCCAAGUAUUGUUGAGAUCAGAAGACGGAAAAUUCAAAAGAGUUGAUGGCAGAUGCUGAAUAACAAAACAACAAUGAACGCAAUAAGCAGAAGCAAAGUGUGUUCGUGAUCGACAGAAUGGAGGUACGGAAAGGGGUUGUUGAUAGAAAAUGAAUGAAUGCAAAGAAAGACUGAUAUUAAAAAUGAAGUAAAGAAAGGACUACUUGAGCAUUUUUCGUCUCAGUCAACUAACAAGACAAAUGAUGAUUGAGUGUGAACUUCUACAACAAUAACAAUCUUUACCUAUUUCAAUUAGUCUUAUAUCCAAUAGCAAAUUCGGCGAUAUGCGGGAGGAGCCACGCGCUUUACAACUUCUACAACAAUAGUAAGAAUGAUUUCAGCCAUCUUCUGUCCUUUUACUCUCUCUUUCUUUUUGUGAAUUUUUGAAAAAUAAUUGACCCAGUUAUGAAGCAAACUAAGUGAUUAAACACAAGUGACUACAACAAGAUGGGGCAGAGUAAGAAGACAAUAGAAAGAGUAGAUACAGAAUAAAACAGAGACUAGACAAAGAACAAAGCAAAACCAGAUAACAAGACUGAAGAUUACAACAAACAGAGGCCAAAUUCGAAAGAGUUGAUGGCAAAAGCUGAAUACAAAAACAACAAUGAACACAAUAAACAGAAGCAAAGUGUGUUUCUGAUCAAAGGAUGAAAAUACUAAGGAAGGGUUUGUUUUGUUGUCUGGAAAUGAAUGCAAAGAAAGACUGAUAUUAAAAAAUGAUCUCAAUAAUGGAGGAGUGACUCAACUCUGAAAAACAAAGUUUUGUUGUAUUCUUUUUAACUUUUUGUUGUGGUAGAGAACGGAGAAUAAGGAUGAGAUUAAAAACUAAAAGUGACCCCUCUGUCUUUUGGAAUUAAUUAAUCAUCUUAGUUUUAUGGCCGGCUAACCGUUGUCCGUCGGAUUAGGGAACAGAAAUCCAAACGGUGGAGAUCACUUGCUGAAACCAUGACCCUUUGUUACUUUAAUGAAAAUUUCUAAGUGAUGAUAAAUAAACCAGGUAGAUAUGGUAGAUAUUUUGAAGUAUAAUAAGUGAAAAACGGAGCCUUUACCGAUGGUUUGCUUUCUUAUUCAUCUUUUCCCUGGGCUUAUUACUCUUUUAUUUUUUAAGUUGACUGGAAAUGAAUGCAAAGAAAGGCUGAUAUUAAAAAUGAUCUCAAUAAUGGAGGAGUGAUUCAACUCUGGAUAAUAAAAUUUUGUCGUAUUCUUGUUAACUUUUUGUUAUGGCAGAGAACGGAGAAUAAGGAUGAGAUUAAAAACUAAUAAGUGACCCGUCUAUGUCUUUUGGAAUUAAUUAAUCAUCUUAGUUUUAUGGCCGGUUAACCGUUGUCCGUCGGAUUAGAGAACAGAAAUCCAAACGGUGGAGAUCACUUGCUGAAGCAUGACCCUUUGUCACAUGUAACUAUGUUAGAAAUGUCCAAGACCGGUAAUUGACCGUUAGCAUCAUGCCAGUGUAGUAGAGGGGAAGCGUCUUUUUACACAACUCAUGUAUAUUCAUUGGAAUAUGGAGUGCCAAAUUAUUAUUCUAAAAAACUUUGAACACCAAAAUAUGUAUUAAACCCCAUUACUCCAUAAAACAUCAUUAAUCUAAAAUUUUACCGUAUAAAUACACAUUAAUACCCUAAUAAUAAAAUUACAUUCCUAAUUAGGAUACUAACCAAAUUCAAGCAGUUAAAGAGGUUGUUGAAAAGUCAAAGACUUACUUUCCAAUUUCAAAAGGCAAAGUUGGUGGGUUUGCCAAAUUCAAAAAAACAAAGAUGGUCGGCUUGCUAAUUUCAAAAGACAAAGUUAGGUGUUGAAAAACUUGUGCAUGCAAUACAAGAUCCAGCUCAACGUUUUGACCAAUUGAACCCAACUUGGAGCAGAAUGCACUUUAUAAAUAGAGAAGCAUUUUGCAAUUGUAAGCAUCCCGAAUUUGAGAGAAGUAGAGAGCAAUUGCAAGUGAGUUCUGUGAGAGAAUUUGUGAGAGCUUCCACUUGAGUGUUCUAGUGAGGUUCCAUUUGGGUGUAUGGGGGUUGUGGGUUUUGUGAGUUUUUCCAACUUUUGUAAAUUCCCAUUUGUUAGUAAAAUUAUCUUCUAGUUUUUUGCUCGUGGCCGUAGGUAUUACGCCGAACCACGUAAAUUAUUGUGUCUUAUUUUUCUUUACAUUUGUUUAACACAACAUUUAUAUUUCUCCAAAAGUUACAGUAUUAGUAAUUGCUCAACCCGCGUUUCCACAACAAGUGGUAUUAGAGCCGACGGUUAGUACUUUGGGGAUACGGUACUAUUCACGUAUACAGUAUUGUUCAUGUAUACGGUACUAUUCCCAUAUACGGUACUGUUCACAAAUACGGUGGAGACGACCAUUUAUACUUAGGAGACAGUCUAUUGUAAGUAGUGUGUAUUUUUGCAUAUCUAGGAAAGUUCUGUCAACAAAGACGAUAAGAGUCGAAGGAUUCUGGUUUUUAAUUGGGAUCGAGUUCCCAUCCAGUCUCCUAGGAACUUUCCUGGUGCAUUUAUUCACGGAAAUAAACAUCAUAGAGGCUGUUUUUUAAGUGUAAAUAGUUGUUGAAGAAACUGAUCAUUUGAGAUAAAAAGGAUGGUAGAGGCAUCGUCGUCGUCUUCAUCAGCAAUGACCACUGCGACUAAUGCAAAGUUUGAAGUGGAGAAAUUCAUCAGCAAUGACUACACUCGGAUAUGUUCAGCUGUUCCAAAUUAUCCAUAAUGGCAGAUCCUGUUGUGCGUGGAAUGCGGAAUCAAGCGCACCAAAUAAUUACAGAAAAAUAAAGGACACAAGAAUUUACGUGGUUCGGUAAUUAAACCUACAUCCACAGAGGCAAGAAAGAAUAAUUGUUUAUUUAACAAUUAAUAGAGUACAAUAUUUGAGUAACGAAUCUCACUUCCCAGAAACCCAAAUAUACCCAGUACUCUCACACUCUGCAGGAAAGAUAAAUUUCCCAGACACACUUCUCUCACUUCUCUCAAAAGCUUAGAAACUUAUAAGCUUAACAAUUUUGGGAUACUAAACAAAUGAAAAUCUCCCUCUAUUUAUAGGAAGUAUUUUGCACUAUUACAAAUUCAACGCUCACCAACAAUUUGCCAAUUUGUCAAGGUAGUUGUGAAUUUGUCAAACUGUCACAUGCUUCACCAACUUAUUUGGUUUCAAUUUCUAAGGGCCGGUGCCAACUUUGGCCAAUUAUUUCAACACGUUUUGUAUUUUCUCCAAAGCUUGCAUGCCAGCUGUUGAAAAGUUGGCUUUGGUUGCUGACUUUUCAAAGUUUCCUUGUUUCAAGAAGUGCUUGAGAUCAAAACACUUGUUUACUUCUCUUAUGAUUACCUCCAUCCCAUUUUCAGCCUUUUCUUUUGCCUCCUGAGCAUGACGCCCUCCUCCUAUAGGAAGAACUUUCAUGGCGUGAAAUCUCUGUAGGAAAUCAUCAAGUGAGAAAAUAGUAGGCGACUCAGCACCAAACUCGGCUUCAAGACAUUUAAGUUUGCAAAUCAAGUCUUCUGGAAAUAGACUGUUAUUUGUUGCUAUGUGCUUCGCAUCAGCUCUCAAUUCUUCCAAGUUGGGGAAUAACUGGGUGAUUAAUCACAACCAAAAUAAAGAAAAAUUUGCUAGAUUCAGAGAUUAGUUGAUAUAUUUAUUUUAAAGAAAUUUAACAAAAUAGAAGAGAUUAAAUUUGAAAUUAACUACCACUAGCUAGUAAAAAUAGCUUUUCUAGCACGAGGAUCCAGUUUACCAUCUUUGACAUGAUAAUAAGCUGGACACCCGAAUACACGAAGGGAAUCAUAGUCUUGUGCAUACUUUCCAGACCACAUUUCCAUAGGAGUUUUACCUCCAAUUGCAGCAGAAGGCAACCGGUUUACCAAGUGACUUGCGUAGCUCAUAGCUUCAGCCCAAAACUUUUUAUCUAAACCAGCAUUAGAUAACAUACAUCGUACCUUCUCUAGUAAAGUACGAUUCAUACGCUCAGCCACACCGUUCUGUUGCGGAGUAUGUCUCACCGUGAAAUGUCUUUUAAUACCCUCGUUCUGGCAUACUUGCAAGAAUGGAUCAGAAGUAUAUUCACCCCCAUUAUCAGAUCGUAAUACUUUGAUCUUUCUGCCAGUUUGAGUCUCCACUAAUUUCUUCCAUUUCACGAAAAUCUCUAGAACCUCAUCCUUUGCUUGCAUGGUGUACACCCACACACGUCUAGAGAAAUCAUCAACAAAUGUAACAAAAUAAUGGCUUCCACCAAUUGAUGCAGUCUUGGUUGGUCCCCAUACAUCACUAUGAACAUAUUCAAGGAUUUCACGAGUAUCGUGAUUAGCUGUACCAAACUUGACCCUUGUUUUCUUGCCUACUACACAAUGCUCACAGAAAUUAAAUUUACAGGUUUUGGUACCUUUUAAGAGUCCAUGCCUCAUCAGAGUUUGCAAAGACUUCUCUCCAGCAUGUCCCAGUCGUACAUGCCAUAGCUUGGUGGUGUCACUGUGCGCCUCAACAACAUUUGCUUCAUCAGUUGUACCUCCCUUCAAAUAGUACAGAUUGUGACGCCGAACCCCUUGCAGAAUCACCAUAGCCCCAUGUGUAAACUUCAUUAUACCAUCUUCAAUGGUAACCUUGUAGCCUUUAGCUUCCAAAGCACCCACAAAAAUUAGAUUUUUCUUUAACGCUGGAACAAAUCUAACCUCUUUGAGUUCUCUGACCAUUCCAUCAAACAUUUUGAGCCGAAUUGUUCAUAUCCCCAUUGUGCGACAAGGUUUAUCAUUCCCCAUCACUACUGCACCGGAUUUCAGAUUACGAAAAUCCGUAAACCAUUCCUUAAUAGGACACAAAUGAUAGGUUGCUCCAGUAUCAAGUAUCCACUCGCUCGAACUAGCCACGUAUGCUGCAGGAGUAAUACUUAGUGAAUAAUCAGAGCCGUCAUCUUUCCGUGCCAUGUUUGCUGCUGCUGGUUUCUUCCCAUCUCUCUUUUGAGCCUUUGGACAAUCUUUCCUCCAAUGACCCUUUUCAUGACAAAAGGCACACUCAUCUCGAGCUAUAUUUCUGCUUCUCGAUUUGGAUCGAGAAUUCUUUCCACCACGCUUCUUCUGUUUCUCCAUCACCCAAUCUCUGCUCACCAAAGCUUCAGACGAUGCUCGUUCAGAAUUUUUAUCAUUAUUCCGAAUCUCUAAGCUAGUCAAUGUUGUGCAAACAUCUUUAAAGACGGUCACACUCUUCCCAUAUAUCAAAGUAGUCACAAAAUGGCUAUAUUCCUCUGGUAGUGAGUGUAACAGAAUCAUAGCCUUGACUUCAUCCUUAAUAUCUUCAUCAAGAUUCUUCAAAUCAGCAAGUAACUUUUCAAAUCUUGAAACAUGAUUGUGCAUUGACACCCCAGGCUUCAUUCGAAAACCAUAUACUUGGCUCAUUGCAUGAAGGCGAUUUUCAGGACUUUUCACCAGGUACUUCUCCUCCAAUGUACGCCACAAAGUCACCGCACACUCCUCAUCUUUCACCAAGUAUUUCACCUCCUUGGUCAAACAAGAUCUGAUCUGACCACAAGCUUUUUCAUUCAUACGAUCCCAAAUUUCUUCAUCAUACAAGUGUCUUUUAUUUUUCAGAACAACAUCGAGAUCGAUUUGAAUAAGGGCAUCCAUAACUUCGCGCCUCCACAUGCCGAAGUUGAUUUUCCCAUCAAACUUUUCAACAUCGAUCUUCUGGCCUCCUAUAACAGGUGCUGAAUAGCGAUUUGACAAAUCUCGCCUCCCACCUGAAGUGUCUCCUGAAAUAGUCUCGGUAGAUCUCUCCCCAAUUCUGGAAGUUUCACCUUCUACUAUUUUCUCAACGAACUAUUUCCACUUGAAAAACAGCCUCUAUGAUGUUAAUUUCGCGUGAAUAAAUGCACCAGGAACGUUCCCAGAAAACUGGACGGGAACUCGGUCCCAAUUAAAAACCAGAAUCCUUAGACUCUUAUCGCCUUUGUUAACAGAACUUUCUUAGACAUGCAAAAAUACACACUACUUACAAUAGACUGUCUCCCAAGUACAAAUGGCCGUCUCCACCGUAUUCGUGAACAGUACCGUAUCCCCCAAGUACGAACCGUGUCGUAUUCAUGAACAGUACCGUAUGUGAAUAGUACCGUAUACGUGAACAAUAUUGUAUACGUGAACAAUACCGUAUCCCCCAAGUACGAACCGUCGGCUCUGAUACCACUUGUUGUGCGCGGAAUGCAGAAUCAAGCGCACCAAAUAAUUACAGAAAAAUAAAGGACACAAUAAUUUACGUGGUUCGGUAAUUAAACCUACAUCCACGGAGGCAAGAAAGAAUAAUUGUUUAUUUAACAAUUAAUAGAGUACAAUAUUUGAGUAACGAAUCUCACUUCCCAGAAACCCAAAUAUACCCAGUACUCUCACACUCUGCAGGAAAGAUAAAUUUCCCAGACACACUUCUCUCACUUCUCUCAAAAGCUUAGAAACUUAUAAGCUUAACAAUUUUGGGAUACUAAACAAAUGAAAAUCUCCCUCUAUUUAUAGGAAGUAUUUUGCACUAUUACAAAUUCAACGCUCACCAACAAUUUGCCAAUUUGUCAAGGUAGUUGUGAAUUUGUCAAACUGUCACAUGCUUCACCAACUUAUUUGGUUUCAAUUUCUAAGGGCCGGUGCCAACUUUGGCCAAUUAUUUCAACACGUUUUGUAUUUUCUCCAAAGCUUGCAUGCCAGCUGUUGAAAAGUUGGCUUUGGUUGCUGACUUUUCAAAGUUUCCUUGUUUCAAGAAGUGCUUGAGAUCAAAACACUUGUUUACUUCUCUUAUGAUUACCUCCAUCCCAUUUUCAGCCUUUUGUUUUGCCUCCUGAGCAUGACGCCCUCCUCCUAUACGAAGAACUUUCAUGGCGGGAAAUCUCUGUAGGAAAUCAUCAAGUGAGAAAAUAGUAGGCGACUCAGCACCAAACUCGGCUUCAAGACAUUUAAGUUUGCAAAUCAAGUCUUCUGGAAAUAGACUGUUAUUUGUUGCUAUGUGCUUCGCAUCAGCUCUCAAUUCUUCCAAGUUGGGGAAUAACUGGGUGAUUAAUCACAACCAAAAUAAAGAAAAAUUUGCGAGAUUCAGAGAUUAGUUGAUAUAUUUAUUUUAAAGAAAUUUAACAAAAUAGAAGAGAAUAAAUUUGAAAUUAACUACCACUAGCUAGUAAAAAUACUUAUUCAAUAAAUUUUAACUUUUCAGAAAAUGAUAACUUUUUGUUAGUAAAAAGUAACCAAGUCAUGAAGACAAUAGCAAUAGAACUUUAAGCUCUAUGAGAAUUGAAAAGUUAAAUAUAAAAUUCUUGUACGUACCUUUUUUAUCAAGUCGCCCGUAGUUUUUUUAUGUCUCACCAUGAAUUCAGGACAUCUAGAUAUCCAUAACUUUUUCAAUGAUGGAAAUUUAAUGAUGUUUACAUCUCCUGUGCAGAAGCUUGUAAGUUUUUUAAGAUCAUACAUCUUUAAAUAUUGUAACUGGCACUACAAGAAAAAUGAUAUUUUAUUAUAAAAAAAAUUAGUCAUUGAAGAUAACAAAUUAGUCACCUUAUAUUUUCUAUGAUGAUAAAUAAACCGUCACACGUUAGUCGUGGGAAGACCGUCUUAAAAGGUUUUAGGGACCAAAAUUAUUUUCGUCAUGUUAAAAAUAUGUUUUGUGACAAAAAUAAUUGUCUUAAAAUUAAGUUAAAAUUGUCACAAAUAAUGUUCAAAAUGGUCAAAUUAGAGAUUAAAAAAUGUAAUCAAUGACGCUUCAUAUUUGUCACAAUAUGUAAUUUAUAAUGACUAUAAUAUUUGUCUCAAUAGGUGAUUUAUAGUGACUAAAAUAUUAGUCUCAAUAGGUGAUUUAAAAUGACUAUAAUAUUUGUCUCUAGAGUAUGUAAAUAUAAUCUCGAUAAUUACUAAAAAUCGUUAUUUCAGAGGUUCAAUGAUACAAUUACCAACGCUAUUUUUCUGUUGUUGAAAUUUACAUAUCGCGGCGUUACACAAUCGUCUCAAGUAGUUAUCAUUUGACAAUUUUUACAAAUACAAUUGGUAAUUAAUAUAGUCUCAAAUUUAUUUUAAGGACAAUUUUUAUAGUCUCACAUAAAUUUUAAUAACAAUAUGUAGUCAUAGAAUUCAAAAUUUAAUGACAAAAGAACUUUGAAGUGAAAAAUAUUAUUAACAUAAAUAUAAUUCAUCACAAAGAAAUCUAAAAUCUAAAAGGUAUAAAAUCAAUAGUCUAAAAAUAAGAUUACAUCGUAGAAGAAAAAUAAAAGUAACAUUGCACAGAAGCAUAAUUAAGUAAACAACAGGUUGUUGUUUCAUGAAUGCUUCAACUUCCUUAAAUUUGCUAUCUUCUUCCUUGAUUUUAACUUUUGAUCCUUGUUGUGCUAUAAGACAAUGUUGUAGUAGAUGAUGACUUUAAAGGUACCUGUCAUUUUCGAUCUUUAUAAAAUUAAAGAUUUUUCCAAAAGUAUUUCACAAUUUGAUCAUCUAUUAUUGAUACAUCAUUUUUCUCUAUCUAUCAUUUGGCUUUACAUGAUUAAAAAAUAAUAUUAAUAAAAAUAAAAACUUGAGAAAACACUUAAUUGGUGUAGGAGAAUAAUCUUCUAAAAGAAAAUCUUAUUGCCAAUGCAUGAAAGAAUAGUAAAUAGCAAGGCAAAUAGCUAUAAAUAAAAAUAUUUAGGUAAGAAUGCAAAAUUAAUUAAAUUUCUCAAUGAAACAUAUCCGCAAUCAAUUCUUUCAUCCAAUAAAAAAAUGGAAAAAAAUUAUAAAUGAAAGACAGGAGAUUACAAGCACAUACUUGCUUUCAUUAUUACUUCAAAUUAACAAUCUAAUCAAAGAUUACAAGCAUAUAAUCAACCUCGAUUCACUUACACAAAUUUUACAUCCAAAGCUCUGAACUUAAUCGAUUAAACAGUUGGUGUCAAACUUGAACUAAAUUAAAUUAUUAAGCAAUCAAUGAAUCAACGUUUACAGUACAAUAAAUAUAAAGUUGAAAGAAAUAAAAGAUUAAGUCAAAAACGAAAAAUGAGAUAGCUUGCACAUUUAGAUUUUGCAUUGAGACUACUUCAACCUUUUUCCUCACUCCAAUACAUUUUAUGAAACAAAGUAAUCGAGGAAACUCUUCAUACUUUUUUGUUAUCCCAGUACAAAAGAAGAUAAGCAUAUUAUUUUUUACUAAACAUACAACCACUUGGGGAAAAAAAUGCUUUUUGACCUUUAUUUAGUCACUUCAUAUACACUUCCUAGCAAAUCCAACAAUAUUUUAAGCAAACUUUAGCAACCCAAGCUUCAAAAUCGUCCUUCCAAGAAACACAUGUGUUUUAUAAUCAAAAUUUUGUAGCUUAACUUAUUAUUAUAUCGGUUGGACUCGAAUAAUUUAUUAACUCUUUUUAUUAUAUUAAUAAUAGCUAUAAUUUUCUUUAAAAAAUAAAGAAAGAUGAUUAAUUACAUACCAAGUUGAAGUGAACAAAAAAUUGAAAGAUCCCAUUUUCGAAUGUUCUUAUGAAAGAAUAUUAGGAAAAAAAAAAAUCUGAUAUCAUCACACCCAAACCCACUGCCCAAAUUGAAAAAUAAAUUCAUCUUAAUAUCCUAAUUUUGUAAAAGUUUCUCAAAACCUACUAAACUUUGCUUCAAAUUCCUUCAUUUAUUUACAUAUAUUUUAUUUAUUUUUAUUUUUUUAACUAGAUUCUCUUAGGAAUUUUAUCAAGCACCUGAUAAGCAUAAAAAUAUUCAAAUAAUAGAUGUAAAAAUUUCAAUCCUAAUUUUACCAAACACAAAAAUAUGAAUUUCACAUAAUCCAAUCACAACUAAACUAAUCAAAAUUAAAUUGGCUGAGUUUAUAUAUACUCACAAUUUCGAAGUAGAAUGAGAGAUGAGAGUGAAUUUUGCUGAGUGGCUGAUUUUGGCAUGCAUGAGUGGACUGGUGAGGGUGGCGUGCUUUUGGGCGGCGGCAAAGUGAGGUGGCCUCCAUAGCCAUGCGUUUUUGUUUUGUUAUCAUCAUUCACACACACACGCACAAAUUGGAAAGGAUUACAAAAGAUAAAGAUGGAUAGUUUUUUAAUAAAAAACCAAUUAAAGUGAAGUGGCCUGGGAGAGAGUGGGAGGGAAUUAAAUGGUUCUAUUUGGAUGACAACAAAAUUGGUCAGGGAAUGAGUGGGAGGGGAUUAAUUUGUAUUUCACGAUUUCAUUAGAGAAACUUCUGUUCUAUUUACGUUUAGUUAUUCUUUUAUUUUAAUUUUUAUCCAAUAAAAUAUGUAUUCUUUUUAUAAAUCCAACAUAAUUAACUAUUAUAGGAUUCUUUUAAAAAUAAAAAAGAAGCUAUAAUAACUUUGUUAUUAUUGGUUUAAAAAAAGUCUAUUAUCAUUUUUUAAUAAUCCUAGUUAAUUAUUUUAAGGCUAUUAUUUUAAUUUUUAUUAAUCUAACAUAGUUAAACAAAAUUUGUAUGAAGCUAAAUAAUAAAAAAUAAUGUGCGUAAUUAAAUUUCAAGAAAAAGGUAUUAUUUAAUAAAAUACCUAUUAGUUAAAUACCUUUUUCUCGAUAUUUAAUAAAAUUAUUGAUAAUUUAUCUUAUCAAUUAUUUAAUAAAAUACAUAUAAAAAAUUUGUUGGUCACAAAAUAUAAUAUAAUUUAAAAAUAUUGAUUUUUUUUAUUUGGUCAAUGUUGUAAAGUUCGUCAAAAAAAUAUGAAUCAAAUACUAAAUAAUGUGUCUCUGAAAAAAAAAAAGUCAUAAAAUACAAAAUUACUCAAGAAAAAAUUUUAAACUAUUAUUUUUUAGUUUUGUCACAAUAGGUAAUUAUCUGUGACAAAAAAAAUAGGGUCUUAAAAAUUAAUCAAAACCAUAUUAGGUUUGGAGACUAAUAUUUUUUGUCACAAAUAGUUUUAUCCAUUUUACAUCCCUCUUUUAGUUACGAAAUAAUUAUGUCGCUUAUAAUUACAUUUCGCUACCAUAUUUUUUGUCAUAAAAGAUGAUAUAUUUGUCAAAAAAUGAUCAAUUUUGGAGGGAAUUUUUUGUGCUAAAAAAGGAUGUCCUUUUGCGGCUAAUUUUAUAUUUGUCGCAAAAAAAUUGAUUAAGUGACCAAUUAUUGUGUCAUAAAAUAAAUAUUAUUCGUUACAAAAUAUAACAUGAGCUAGGAUGAGAUUAUUUGCUACGAUUUUUAAAGAUCGUCACAAUAAGUAUUAUUUUAUGACAAAAUCUACAAAUGUCAUUAAAAAAAUUAUCUUAAAAAUUCAGAUUUCUUGUAGUGUGGGGAAACAUUACAAUAUUAUUAUUCCUUUUUUCUUGGUCCACAAUUAUUAUCUCUUCCAAGACAGGGCAUCCCAAUAUGUCAAGGUGUUGGAGUCGAACAAAGAUGUCAUUGCUAACUAUAGAAGACGAAAAUAGACAUCUUAAAUUCCUACAUCUGUAUAAGGUCAAGUGCAUUAAAUUCUGAACACCACAAGAUAUGGCUGAAACUUGGUUUUGCCAAAUCCUCUCAACAUUAAUUGAACGCAACUCCAAGUUCUCCAACUUUGGUAACGCAACCUAUUCGAUUAAAAAAUUAACUUCUUGUUAAUUACAAGUAAUAAUCAUUUCUACAGAUGGACAAAUCAAUAAAAUUAUUAAUCUGUUUCUCUUGUUAUAGUUCUCUUCAGUCUUUCAUACAAACAAGCACCAUUCAAGUUUUCAAAUUAUUCCUUGCUAAUUUUACAUGUAUUCUGACGACACAUUAAAUAAAAAUGACAAGUUAUGAAUGUGAAUCUAUUUAUUAGUAAAAAAAUGACAGUUUUCAAAUUAUUAGUUACUCUUGAAUAUUUGCUAACAGACAAGAAUAACAAAGAACAAAAAUACAAAAGUCAUAGAGAAUUAAUAAGACUAUACCGGCUUAACAAUAACUGACCUUCUCAAUGAAUAGUGCAUUAGAAAUACUGACAUUGUCCUCCAAAAUGAUUUGGUUUGACUGAAUAUCAUUUAACGAUUCCUCUUGUCUCUGUUGACAUUGAAGGUGUUAUGAGUUUAGCGUAUAAACUUAAUUGUGAGCGUAAUGUGCAUUUGCAAAGCUUAGUUUAGGACUAGAUCUAAAUUUGAUAUGUAAGAUUCCAUAAUCGAGAAUUUUUUUAAUCAAAAAUUUAUCUGGGUUAAUUUAAACAAAAAUAUGAAGAAUUAAACUUGUUACCGAUUUAGAUUAGAUAAAUAGUGAAUAUUCUCUAAAUAUGAGCAUUGUAAGAUUAUUGAAAAUAUAAGACGGUUAAUUUCACAUUUUUCAUAUGAAUAUUGUGAAUGUUAUUGAAAGUAAGAGAAGAAGAAUAAUAUUACAAGGAUAAAGCACAUACAAUAUAAAGCUAUUAUGUUUUUUUUUUUACGGAUGUAACUCUGAAGCUAAAAGAUUAAAAUAUUAUUUAAUUGCAAGCAUUAAUGAUUUUUGCUAAAUUGUUUACUUUGAAAAUGAGUAUAAAUAUGAUAUUUGACGACUUUUCAAAAUUAACUUUGAUACACUAGAAGUUUCUAGUUUUAGCAUACGUAUAAAUUAACAAAAUGAAUUUCAUAAUAACUAUAAUUUGCUAAAUUGAUCAUACCUUUGACUCUGCCGGAUUAAGGGCGUCGUGGCAACCUUCGAUCCAGAGAUGCUUGAGUUGUGAAGAGCCCACUUUGACUAGUUCAUUAACAAAAUUAUGGACAUCUUGCUCUUGCAGUCCAUACAAUCCAAGAUGUUCAAUUCCCUGCAGUUACACGAUCAGCCCAUCCUUCAAGGAAAUCUUGGAAUUCAGCUCGAUUCUGAAAUCUCUAUUGCAAAUGUUGUACUUCCAAUUCCAGGAAUCUCCAAUAAGUAUUCUGUACCUCUCCAGCUUCUCGAAGAACAAGCCUCUCGGGAGACCGUUGACAUCUCUUAUUUGUAGUUCUAAAGAGGUCAAAUGCUUCAACUCAUCAAGGCUAGCAUUCUUGACCCCGUCCACCUCCACAUCCCAUUUAUCAAAGCUAUUAUCACCUAUAUUUAGAUCUUCUAAAUGGGAUAAAUUUGACAAUAUAUUUGGUGGAAUAACUUCUAGUUUGCUACAAUCUCUCAAAUCAAGCAACUUCAGCCAAGUCAACUGACCUAAUUCUACAGGCAACUGCUGAAUAUCACUACCUCUUAAGCAAAGGAUUUCUAGUUUCUUCAACUCUCCUGUAACACUUAUAUCUAGCAAUUUGCAAUAACACAAACUCAAUGUUCUAAGGUUUGAUAGGAGACCAAGUGAUGAAGGCAGUGGCAGUAGAUUCAUGUAAGUCAAGUUUAUAACUCUAACCUGUAUCAUCCUCUCGAAAAAGUUGUUUGGAAUUGUUAAUAAUGAAGAUUCCUGAUGAUCAGCACGUACAGAAAAAAGUUUUAGCUGAGGACAUUCCAGUAGUACUCGAUCAGCUGGAAGCACAUUAGUCUUGAUAUCACGUGAGACGAUUGAAGUGUAAAGUUUUACCGCAUUUUCGGCUGACCAUUCCAUGCAACCAUCAAACAGCUCACCUGUCGCCGUAAACACAUUUUUUUCUGCAGAUGCAAUUGAUAUCGCAACAUCGCGAAUAACAUCGUGCAUAGAAAGGCCUUCAUCUAGCAACAUACAAGAAGCUUUAAGUUCGNNNNNNNNNNNNNNNNNNNNNNNNNNNNNNNNNNNNNNNNNNNNNNNNNNNNNNNNNNNNNNNNNNNNNNNNNNNNNNNNNNNNNNNNNNNNNNNNNNNNNNNNNNNNNNNNNNNNNNNNNNNNNNNNNNNNNNNNNNNNNNNNNNNNNNNNGUAACUCAACUCUAUAGCUUUAUACGCUGCUGGUUGUAUAUGUUUGAAGUUCGUUGAGGAUGGCCUUCUUAGUUGUUUCAACGAGUCCUUCCAUUUAAAUAUACUCGCGCUCCUUAAUGCCCUUGCUACCGCCACAAUGGAAACAGGCAAACCUGCACAUUCCUUCGCCACAUCCCUUGCAACGCAUUUCAAUUCACUACCUUCAACAUAAUCGCCUGCCAUCUUCUUGAAUAGACUCCAAGCUUCUUCUUCUGCUAAAGCCCCAACUACGAAAUUUUGUUGAGAAUCCAUCUUCCUUGACAACACCUCUAGACUUCUUGCCGUCAACAGUACUUUACAUCCCUUGUCACCAUCUCCGUGGGGAAUUCCCACCACCUGCAAAUCAAGAUAUUCCCAAAUAUUAUCUAAGAUGACAAGGAUCCUCUUCUCUUUCUUCAGUCGGCUAAAAAGACGUCUUGCCCUUCCCGAUUAGCUCUCCUCACGAAAUGUUAGACCUAAUUUAUCUGCGAUUUCUCCUUGAAUCUUUCUUAUGUCUGGGCUCUGGGACACCUCGGAAAAAACCACAAGAUCAAAGAGCUUGUCAUUUUUGGCUUUUCUUGCAACUUCUUUCGCCAGCAUCGUCUUUCCAAUGCCGCCCAUUCCACAAAUCCCGAGCAUGUUGAUAUCGGGAUUUCUCAAUGCACCGAGAAUAUCAUUCAGAGUGGACAUUCUUGAUUCAAAGUCCUCGCAGCCUUUGUUGGACAUAAGCAAUGUAUCCUCAGGAAUGAUACUGUGGGAAAUUCUUUCAAACCUCCCAUCUUCCCGGAGCUUGACUAUAGCGUCCAGCUGCCUCACUGCUUCCUUGCUAAGUCUACGGCGCAUCUUCAAAUUAGGACAACAACCCUUGAAACUAUGCUUAUUUUCUGUAGCUUCAUCACCUACAAAUUUCUUUCCCUCAACAGUGGCCUUGUUUGCGCUUGCAAGCCAAUUCUGAACGUUCUGUUCAAUCUCUUCACCUUUUCUUUCUGCAUCAUUAACCACGUUCUCCAUACUCACGAUCUCACCCUCCAGCUUCUCAACUUGAUUAUUGAGAUUCUUAAAGUUUCUAGUGUAGUCGCGCACAUAACUAAAUUGGCGUUCUAUGGAAGGAGCCAAGCACUUUGCAACUUCUAUAACAACAGAAACUAUGAUUUCCACCAUCUUUAAUCCUUUUCGCUCACUCUUUUUUUUUAAAAAAGAAAAAGAAAUUGGGAAACAGAACAGAGACAAGAACUGAAGUACAGAACAAUUGAUUAGUUAGGAAGCAAACUGACACUGAGAGAUUAAACGCAAGUGAAGUGACUACAGCAAUAUGGGGCGGAGUAAAAAUGGAAAAAAAACAAGAGUGGAUACAGAACAGAACAAAUAUAGGGAGCAGCGCAAUUCUAAAUAACAAGACUGGAGAUCAAAGAGUGCCAAGUGUCGUUGAGAUCAUAAGAUUCAAAAAUCAAUAGAGUUUAUGGCGAAAAGUGAGAGAAAACAGAAGCACAAAACUUAAGAAAAAAUAAGACAAACAAUUUUAGCAAGUUAUCAAUUUAGUUAUUUAAUUCCUGUAAUAAAAUAUUAAAAUCUACAAGGAAGCAUUAAGGCUCGCUAAAAGUUUGAGGUACAUUCCUUCCCUCUAAUCAAAGAAAAUUAGGAAUGAUGCUGCUUCAACCAUGUAUAAUUUAAAUUAAUUAAAGUUAAUAUUCGUAAAUAUGCUUUGAUUAAAGUUGUUGUGUGAAUAUACAUAUAAUAAUUGUUGGUAAAGUUUCGUAAAUGUGAAUCCUUUAAAUGUCCAUCUCUUCCCUCUGAGGAAACGUUAACAUGGGAGAUGAAGCUAUACUACUAUAAACAGUGUUUGAGCAUUUUCACCAAAUACUUGAUAAGUUUAUCAACUUAUUUAUUUAUUUCAUUUCCUAAAUAUGAAAAGCUACAAAGGGAGAAUAAUGGUUUGCUAAAAGUUCAAGGAAUGACAUUCAUUUCCGAUCAUUGAAGAAAAUCCAUGAAUGCUGAUUCCAUCAUGUGGAAUUUAAUGUUAAUUAAAGAUAAAUUUGAGAAAUGCAAAUCUUUUAAAUGUCCGUUUCUUCACUCUGAGGAAAAGUUAUCUUGGAAGAUGAAGCAUGGCUAAUAUGCUAUAACAGUGUUUGUAUUGUGGGACAAUUUCUUGCGAGCAUUUCUUAGUCAAAGUUUCAUAUAAAACUAUAAUAUCUAUACGCAGGGGAGGACAUGGCUUGGCUUGAACCCAAUUAAUUUGGGAGUAAUGAUGAUGUUUGGUAUCAUAUACGUUGAAGUUCUAGUGCAUAAUGGCAUUUAUGUUGAAUGCCACUUCAAUAAACUUUACUAAAAUAUUCCACCACUUUUUACCGCUUCUGUCAUUGUUCUGAUCAGACUCACAUUUUACCACAUGUAAGAUUAUCUAAUUGCAUUUACUUUGUCACAAUAAGACGCCAACAACUUUUUUAAUGCUGGCCACUAGUAUGCAUUCCAAGGUAUAAACAUAUAAUUAAGGGCCGUUUGGGGCAUAUUUUUUUUGGAGGUUAAAAAAUGAUUUUGAAAAGUUAAAAAUUAAUUUUUGUGUUUGAUAAAUUUUUUUAGAAAUCACUUUUGGAAAAAUUACCUUAUUUUAUAGCAAAUUUUGAAAAGUAAGGAGUAGUCUUUCAACAUCUAAUUUUGAGAAUAAAUUUUAUACUCAAUAUAAUUUCAUACCAUAUAUAUCCUUACAUAAGAAAUAAAAUUAUUAACUUUAAAGAGAUUAUUAUUAGUAACAAUUAUAUUGAGAUAAAAAUAAAUUAAAAUUAAUAAUAUAAAAUAUUUAUUUUAACUAUCAAUUAUUAUAUAUACACACACUAAAAAAAGUAUACACAUUUUUAUAAAUAUAUAAAUAAAUUUUAUUCAACAUUAUAUCCAAUUCAAUCAUUUACAUUCUUAUAGUAGUUUAAGAGUAAUAUUUAUCGAACACAUAUGAUUACUUUUUAAAACUCAUAGCACCUUUAAAAUAAAUUUUAUUAAAUGUUUAAUUAAUUUUCUUCAUAGUUGAUUAUUUCUGUAGUUAUUAUUUUAAAAGAUAUAGCAUUACCAAACUAGUCCAAAGUCCUCCAAGAUCUUCACGAGUAUUAAUGUAAUUAGUUUGAGUCUAUAACAUCAAAAUAUACUAAUUUACAGAGUUAAAGCCAUGAAUUCACAAUAUAACGGUAAAUAUCAAUAUAUAGUCUCAAGUAAAACAUCUUCUCAUGACCAUGUCAAGUAAAUGCCGCUGGUGUUGAAUCAAUCUAAAUUCCCGUUUGUCAAAUGUAAAUGAAAAAGAAAAAAAAAGGUAACCAAAGUUGGUUGGUGUGAGUGGUUCGGCACUCUCACUCCUUAAGAGAGGUCAGGGGUUCAAGUCUCACUCUCGUAUGGAGUCACCACUUUGGCCAGCACUUUACCCUUUACGGGCCGACCCGGUGCGAGCGGGGAUUCGUCUGAGUUGUAGUACGGACUUAAAGGUGCCUCCCACAGUUGGGGUCCACUCAGGACCACCUCAUGGUUCAAAUCAAAAAAAAAAAAAAAGAUAAGCGAGACCAAAAACUGUGGCGAUCAUUCAUGUCUUUUGGCAUUUCACAUUUGAUAUUUGUAAAUAUGUAAAAACAAUCUAUUGAGUAUGAGAUUCUUAAUUUUUCUUUUUCAUCUAAUUUGUUAAUAUUAUUGAAUUUUCUUUUUCACCCAAUCUACUAAUAUUAUUGGACGUAAUUGGAACUUAGAACCACUUAUGUCAACUUUAAAUUAUAUCAACUUUAGAAUGACACACUUCGAUAUCUAAGUUUAUAAAAUGAUUGAUCUACUUCAAGCCCAAAGUUUUUUUUUUUUUUGAAAAAAAAUAUUAGUUAAUAAAGGAAUACAUUUUAAACUUUUUAGUAGCCUUCUAGAUUGGGCCUUGAAAUUAUAAAAUGGUUUAUUUAGAAAUUGCGUUGGACUAUUGGCACCCCUCCAAAAUCCUUUUAAAACCCCUCUUCUGUUACAAUUAUAUUUAAGAAUAAAUACUUUAAUAUAUCUCACAUCUAUUUUAUCUCACUUUAAACUUUUGUAUUUUCUUUCUUGAAAAAAAAAAUUCUUGUAUUUUCUCUGCUAUCAAACUCAUGCAUGUAAUUUUUUUCUUAAAUUCUCUAUCAUUUUUUCUUCAAUUAUUAAGACAAUCUAUUGAUAAUAAACAAAACACAUUCUGACAAAAUUAUCUGCCUUUUUUUAAGGCUCAUAAUAAAUAUUUUUACAUCAUAACCUUACAGAUAUUUUAUUUAAUUAAUUGAUUUUUAUCAAGAAGUUUAUCACCUAUAAAAAUUUGUUUGUGAGGAGUGAGAAAAUAAUAGAAAAUUAAAAAAUUCACAAAUUAAAUGUGUUUAUUUAGAAAUAAGGGUAUUUUGGGCAUUAAGCUUAGCACUAUUGAAAAAAUGGGUCAGAAGAAUUUUGGAGGGGUGCCAAUAGUCCAACUCUUAUAAAUUAAAUAUAAAGAUUAAUAACUGGACCUAGACUCAGCCCGGUCCGGGUCUAAAAAUUUCAAGCCUAGGUCCAUCACUCCCGCCAACUGCUGGACUGGACGUUCCAUUCAUAUGCUGUUGAGAUGUAUAUAUAUAUAUAUAUAUAUAUAUAUAUAUAUAUAGUUUAGCUUUUAGCACCCAUAUGAAAAUUCUUACGACACCUCUUUUGUAUUUUAUUUCUUAAAAUAUCUUAGUUUUAAUUUAUAAAGUAUAAAUCCCUAUAAAAAAAAAAACCACAUUCCCACAAAAUGUCAUCCUAGAAAAAGUCUCUUUGGAGUUUUAAUUAUAAAAUACAUAUAAAUUCUAAAAAUUUUUAUUAUUUUCUUUUAAUUAUUUUACUUAUAUCUCCAUUAUUCAAAACACUUUUAAUUUUUUUAAAAAUCAAAUUAAAAUUUAAAAUAUAAAUAUAAAUUAUGAAAUGGGGUGGGUGUAAAAAUUUUGUUAAAAGAAUAUUUUAUUUAGGUGUUUAAUUGAAUUUUCAGUCAAAAUAAAAAUAAAUUAAUUUGUCUUUCGUUAUAUAGGUAAUUUCAAUAACAAAGGGGUUUCAUGAGGAAUUUUGAGAAAGCCAUAUUCGUACAUCAUACAUUUGUGUGUGUGUUGGAGGGGGGGGGGGGGGUGUGUUUUUUUGUGUGUGUGUGGAGUGGGUUUAUCCAAUAGGGGAUCCCUAACUUUAUUAAAUUUAGGAAUAAGAUAAAAAUAAAAUAAAAUAAACACCGAUUCCAAUUAGGGAUGGCAAUGGGGAGGGGAGGGGAGGGGACCGAUCUCCCCGUACCCAUGCCCUCCCCGUCCCCGUCAGAAUUACUUGAGAGAAUCUCCAUCCUCUCCCCGAAUAAUAACAAGGGAUCCCCGAGGGUCCCCGAUCCUCGAAUAACUAAUACAUUUUUUUUCGAUUUUGAGUUAAUAAUAUUAAAAUAAAAAAUUCAAAUAAAAGUAAAGUUCGAAAUAUAUCUUACAUUAAUAUCUAUUACAAAAGUCACAUACAUUAAAUUAGUAAGUAACGCAACAUGCAAGGGAUACAAACUUCUUUUACAAACUAUCAUGAACAAAUUAAUAGUCUAAUACAAAAUUGUUACAAAUAAAAUCGAAUUUAGAUUCAAAAUUAACUUUUUCAAUGGUGGCGUGGGCACUUUAUAAAUGUGGACUAUUCCCUUUACAACACAAUAGUUAAAUCGGAGCAAAUCAAAAGCAAAUAUUAGAUUAGAUUAGAUUAGAUAUUAAAAUUGUGAUUCGCUGUGGGCAAUUAUAACAUCUAAAAUUAAAUAAAAAAUAGAUUUAAGUUUAAAAUAUUUAAAGAAUAUUAAAAUUAAAAAAAAUGUUUGGCUAAUAGAAUCUACUCGGUCUUUUUAAUGUCCUAAAUAAAAAUUUAGAACUUUAAUUAGCUAAUUAGGCCUAAAAGUUUAAUAAUAUAAAUAUUUUGAUAUUUUUUAUUUUUACCAAUAUUUAUAAUUUUAUAAUUUAUUUACUAGUAAUUUUAAAAAAUUAAAAUAAAAUUAAAAAUUAAAAUGGGGAAAUGGGUAGGGGAUGGGGAUUCCACCUCAUCUCCGUCCCCUCCCCGAAUAAGAAAUUGGGUAUGAAAUUAUCCCCAUACCCUCCCCGAAUGGGGAAAAUCCCCGAGAGUACCCGUCCCCGUGGGGAUUUUUGCCAUCCCUAAUUCCAAUACACUACAUGACAAAAUAUAGUGUAUUGGAGUUUAUAUUUUUUAUUUUAUUUUUUAGUUUAUUCCUAACUUUAAUAUAUCCCUUAUAAAACCCCUCUCUUGAAGUACCCCAUAAAAAUAUUAAAAAUUAUAAUAAAUCUAAUAGCACAACAUCAAUUCCAAAACUACCCUCCACAUAUAUUCCUCUACUUUUUCUUUUCUUUCUAAUAAAUUCGCGAGGGCUAGGAUCAGUACCUCCACCUCUUACUUGCUGUCAAGAUUAGUUUAAUUAGAACAAAAAACACAUAUCUAGAAAAUUUUAAUUUUUCAUUCAAGCUAAAAUUAAUUAAAAUUUUAAACUUUAUAUAGGUUUUUAUCAAGAUUUUUGAGGGGUGUGAAAAGCUCCACUCGUAUAUAACCAAUAGACCACAAUGUGUUUUCUCAUAUAUUUUGUAAUUCUACUAAUUGGCUUAAAUUGAAUUGUAAAAAAUAAUGCCACUAGAAGAAAACAGAUAAUAGAUGAUAGACAAUUUGUGACAGAUUCUAGACAAAAUAACUUAAAUCAUAGCACUAUGAAGGAUUUGUAAUAGAAAUUUCAAUCUAUCACAGAUCAAUGAUAGUUUUGUAAUAGAAAUAUUUUUUUUAUCAUGAAUAUAUGAUGGUUUUGUGAUAGAAUUAUCGUUUAUCACAAAUUUAUGAUAGAAUUGUAAUGGAAAUUUGAUCUACCAAGAAAUUGUGAUAGAAUAAUGAUUUUGACCACGUUUGACUCAAAUUUGAUGUAUUAUUUUAUUUAAGAAAACAAAAGGUACAUUUUAAUAAUUGAAAAAAAAAAGAAAGAAAACGCUAGCCAAAUGCUACCGUUUUGGUACUUAACACUCCUUUUCUUUUUCUUCUCUAAGUGUUAAACACUCACACACUUGGAAAUCAAAAUCCAUGAAAGCUACAUUUGUAGCUCGUUUCUCCUUGCGAGAAUUCUUAAUCCCCAAGUUCGCUGGUUAAUCAUUUUCUUUAUUGCUUUAACUUUUGUUUUAGAAAGCUUGUUUGAUGUGAAUGGCCUUGGUCUAGUUGGAAUAAAGAAUUAAAUCCACAAAGAUUGUGAAUCUUGUAUCUUUCAUAGUUUUUUUUCUUUAAUUAGCUUGAACUAGAAAGAACUAAAUUGUUUUAUGUAUGUUUGAGUUUUGUUGAUGCUAUUUUUCCUCUAGGCAACUCGAUAAUUCUGAAAUUGAAAUGUUGAAGGGAUUAUUAGUAAAUAUUGUUGAGAAUUUAGAAUUUGGUGUUGUGUGGUUUUUUAUGAUGUUUGACCAAAGUGGGAUAAAUGCUCUUGCUACACAUUUGGUCCUCCAAUUAUGAAGUGCUUCAUUUUACAUAACGUAGUGCCAUUAAUGAUUUUGUUCAAGGCGGCCGUAUUGGAUUAUUUUAGAAAUUUAUUAUUAGGUAUUUGAAUAAAUGGUUAGAUAUCUAUCUUUUGCUUGAACUCUGUGAAUUUUUAUUUCAUGUCUUAUUAUAUUUUCUUGAUGUUUUCAUGGGUUUCAUUAAGUUAUAAUCUUUCUAAUGCUUCGCUUUUUUCUAUUUUAGGACUACACUACAAGAAAAAUGACCUAUUAUGAUAGGUAAAAACCGUCAUCUUAGGGGGUAGAUGACGGUUAUCCUUACUGUCAUUAUAGCCAGCGUCAAGAAAAGAUGACAGAUAAAAUCGCGUCACAAGUUGUGAUAGAUUUUACCUAUCAUAAUUAUGUCAUACUACUUAGAAGAGGGAAAUUAUUUUUUUAUUUUAUAUUUUCAUUUUUUUAGAAAUUUUUGGAUUGUAUUUUUUUUGGGAUAUCAAUUGUGUGUAUGACUAGUAUUUUCUAUCACAUUUUUUUUGAAAAAAUUGAUUAUUUAUUUUAUUUAUUAAUUUAAAAUAUAAAUUAUGAAAUUUAAAAAUUUAAAUUAUUAAAAUUAUAUGAAAGAAAAUAAAUUACUAAAUGCAAUUAAAUCCAAACUAAUGAACUAAAUUAGUGAACUUUAUUAACCAUAAAAAUAUCCAAAGUACAUUACAUUAGUUAAUCCAUAUUCCAAAGUCGAGCCAAUAGACAACAAAGGCCAAUCCAAAACCAAGCAAAGUACUCCGCAUUCAGCAACAUCCAGCAACAAACCUACACAAAAUGUAGUCUUCCAGCAACAAACCUACACAAAAUGUAGUCUUCCAGCAACAAAAUUGCAAAAUCUAGUCUUCCAGCAGCAAAAUCCAGCAGCCCCAAAGCCAAGACAUGAAAAUCCAUCCAGCAUCAGACCUAUGCAAAAUGUAGUACUCUGGCUAUUCAAUCCACUAACUAAUUAAUUAAUUAAUCAAGCAAACUAACUUAUGUAAUUACACUGAAAUGGACGUGGCACACCAGAUUAGCAACAAUGACAAGUGAGGCAGCAGUUAAAGCCCCAACAGCAAGAAAGCCACAAGCCACACCUUUAAGUUCUUUUGAUCUUUUGUAGCUGCUACUACUACUACUACUACUACUAAUAAUAAUAAUAAUAAUAAUAAAACCAUCAUAUUAAUUUAUACAAGUCCCAAUAUAAGUAGAUAACUAAACAUAGGGUUCAAGAGUUCCAAAUGUUAAAAGUUACAAUCAUAGAGACAUUUCCAUAAUGGAAAAACGAAGAUAAAGCUCAUGAAAAGUAAAUAUACCUAUUUAGUAAUUUAACAACCUCAUAAACCAAUCAUGGAGACAUUUCCAUCAGCCCGCAAGUAAUCAAUCAUAGCCUUCAGAUUAUCUUUCUGACAAACAAGCCAUCAACUUUGGAUGGACCUUAAUUACAAGAAUAAAGUCCAACAAGAUAGGUAAUUGAUCUCAUGAGCAAGAUUAAAUACAACACCUCAUCAAGCUUUGCCAUGAAUUGUAUCAGCUUUGCUUUGUGAAUGAAUAUAAUAAGCUUCAUAUUCCUUCGCUCCUCAUAGGUAGAAAUGGCCUGCAACAAUUAAAGAGCCAAGAUUCAUUCAUGCUUUUUAUCAAACACUUGGAGGGAAUACAAAAAUAGUGACUAUAUCCCCAAUUCGAAGGUAGUGAGCAUACGGCUACAUGCAAGUAUAUAUCAAUAUGUAUAUAUCUUUUAGGAAUUCUCUGCCUUGGAGUUGAAACAAUAUGUGGUGCUAGCAAGCUAUGUUGUUAAUUGGUAUAAAUUUUUGAAUGGUACAAAAGGCUUGAGAUUCAAACCAUGCUCAUAUGAGUGCGGAGAGUGGAAAUUGAGUAGAAACCACAAUACUAUUGAUAUUCUUAGAGGAUCUUUCCAUGUGACAUUCAUUCAAAAUUGUAACUAAGAGCAAAAUGUUUAACGAUUUUUAAUGUAUUGUACACAUAUGUAUCAAUCAAUAUCUUGUAAGAUCGAAAAAUUGAUAACAUUCCCUCAAGACAAAUGAAAAUGGAAAUGAACUAGUCAAUACCUGCAUUACCCAAAAGAGAAACAAGGGAUGGGGAACUCUGAUGUAAUAAUAAAUUAUCUGCUCGGUGCAAAAACAGCCACUAGAAACACACAUUGGUUGGAUGAUAUUGACAUUAUUUCCAACACACACAAUAGAAACAAUACCAAUUGCCCACCAAGUGCAUGACUCAAUGUGCGCCCAGACCUGACACCACUUCCUGCACAUGCGACUCGGCCCACAAUCACCACUAAUUUCAACGAAUUAGUGAAUUUAACCAAUGAAAUUGAAAAAAAAAAGACUUUACAUCACAGUGAACGAAUUUGAGAAUUAUCUAUAUAUAUAGUUCCAUGCAUCCACAAAAAAGUGAAAAAAAAAAUUAGUUAUUAGAAAACCCCAAUGAUAAAGCAGCCUAGAUAAUAUCCCAACACCCAUCACGAUUAAAUUGGCAAGGAUCUUUACAGCCUAAAUCAAAUUAAUUUAACAAUAAAACUAUAAUAAUUAAAUUCCAAAAAAAUCAAAUAAAUGUUUAAAAUUCCAUAAAUAAAGAAACAUAGAAGACCAAUCAAAUAGAUCCAAAUUUAACAAGAGCACACCUAGGAUUUUCAAGUUUUACACGUACAGGGUUCAAAUUUGACAAGAAAACAUCUAGGUUUUACAAGAUUUAGGUGUGUAGGGUUCGAAUUUGACAAGAACACAUCUAGGGUUUUUAAGUUUACAUAUAUAGGGUUCGAGUUUGACAAGAACAUUAAAAUUGAAAUGGAACACAACACUAGAAAUAUUAUUUACCUGUAUUGAUCGAACGGUUACAAUAGUGGGUGAGCGUGGGCUCUCAGUUAGGGUAUUGAAAUUCAAUAGUAGUAGCACAUGCGUUUGGUGGGUAUUCCAUAUAGUUCUCGGUGAGAGCCAAAAUUGAUAGUCAAAUACAAGAGAAUGGCGGCAGUGGUUCAGUGCCCAUGCAAGGAUUUCGGGUGAAAAGGGCUUUGUGAGUGUGAGAUUCACGAGAGUGACUGAGCGAGAGACGAGAGUGAGUGAGAGUGCCGACACUUAGGGAAAAAAAAUUCGAUUAGUGAAAACUGAAGAGGGUUUUGUUUUUAUUUAGCUUCAAUCUAAACGGUGUUGUUUCUUGUCCAAAGAGAAACUUUUAAUCCAAACGGUACCGUUUAUUCUAUAUUUAUUUUUUUCAUUCAUUUUAAAAUUUUCAGUCAACCUUGUAAAAUAAAGUCAAAAUAAAAAAGCUACUUGAUGAUCUAAAUUAUAUCACAAACUUGUCAUUACUUCUUGAUAACCAAAUAAUUUAUCAUCAGUCUAUCAUAAGUGCUUGAUAGAUGAAAUUUCUAUCACAAGUAUGUCAUAAAUGAAUGAUAGAAAAAAAAUUUAUCAUCCAUCUAUCGUAGUAGCUCUGCAGACCAAAAACUGUCACACAGAGGACUGUCAUGGUAGGUCAUUUUUCUUGUAGUGCUAGUUUUGAGAUGGAUACCCCUAUUGCAAACGAUAGAAUUUGAUUGCUGCUACAAAUACUUCAUUUGUGAAAAUGGUUUUCUAAUUUUUAUGUGUUGGCUUGCGGUAAAAUUGCUGAUUUAAAAUAUAGCGAAGACAAAGUUCUUAUGAGAAUGUGAAUCAAUGAUAACAUAUAUUGGCAUUAUAGUAGCAUGUGAUGAGCUUUUUUUCUCCUUUCCUUAAAUUAGGCAAUUGAACUGUCAAUUUUGCUUUCUUUUAGCUUCUAUAUUCUCUUUUUCUUUGGAGGUACAAUGGAUGUUUUCAUUUGGAUAGUUCAGCUUAUGAAAAAAUAGCUCUAUGCAAUUAUUAGACUGUAAACUAUUAUUAAGGUAUGCAUGUUUGUUCAUAGUUACACUAGUUAUUGCUCUAAUUCUUUUCUUGGGCAGGAAUAAGAUGCAGAGUUAUGGGACUCAGAGUUAAGAGACUAGUAUUCUUGAGGCCAACAAUUGCAGGCUAUUUAAGAUAAGUUGUGAAAUUUUGGAUUGUUGUAGUUUGAAUACUUCAAUGGUGUGGAUUGUAUGGUUAAAUAGAUAUCCAGGUUGUAUUAAUUGGGGUUUUUAAUUUUUUGUAUCAUAUUUAAUAUUUAUUUUAGAUUUAUAAAUUUAUUCUAGAAACAAAUUUGUAGAAUUUGAGAAUUCUAAUAGCAGCAGGAUCAACAACGACGACGACGUUAAUAUUAAUUCAAUACAAAUAAUGAUAACAAUGUAAUUCAAAGUAAUAAUGCUUUUAAUUAAUUUUAAUAUUGCAAUAAUAUCAAUUUUCAGCCAAAAAUUUCAAAAAAUUCCAAUAAUUUUAAUAAUUUUAAUUUCCCAUUAAAAGAUUGAGUAACAUAUAUAUGACUGUGAAAAACUGUCAUGAAUUCAUGAUGGAAAAUAUUCUAUCAUAAAUUAAUGAUAUUGAUAUAGAUGACAGAUAAAUUAUUUGCAAUGCACUCUUUUUUAUGACAGUUAUUUACUGUCAUCUAUUGUCUAUUUUCUUGAAGUGUGCUUUUGUAAGUAACAUCAUAUAUUAGAAAUCAGUCCACGAUCUUGUUUUUAAAGUCCAAAAAAGAUAUUAUGUCAUAUGGUGUAAUUAUGUGGCAUAACAGUUUUUCCAAACUUUAAGAAAGUUCAGAAUCCUAGAUCAGACGAGUACUCCAUCAUAUAUACUCCAAUAAAUUCUUAGCAACACAUCUUUUGUAUUUCGAGUCUAUAUCGAAAGGAUUUUAUUUAAUUAAAUGCAAAAUAAUAUAAAAUCUAAUAAUUUUUUUAGUUUCUAGUUCAUGCUUAUAAUAAUGUUCGAAAUUAAUAGAUGAAAGAAAAAUAUUAGUUUUUUUAAUUUAAUUCAUAUAUUCUAAAUCAUAAUUUAUAUAAAAAAAAUCGCUGGAAAGAAAUGAAACUUUUUUUAAAAAAUAUAUGUAAUGGGUAUCAUUUGAAAAAAAAAAAUUGCAUGAUUACAAUGAUUACAAGCUCAUUCAAUGGCUAGUUUCAUCAUUUGAACUCUGCGGCGACAAAGAGACGACAGAAACGUGGGUCCCUUUAUCUGUCGCUUCACUCCAUUCAACAUCUGAACUCUUUGUCUAUUUAGUCUAUUACUUUUUCAGUUUCGAUAUUCUUACAACAUUGAGUACUAGCACAAAACGGUGAGUUUGAGACAAGCAUAAAAGGUCACAGUAAAUUCUCAAUUGCAACAAUCUCUCUCUCACGCUCUUCCUCACCAAUCCACUAAUCUCAUCACGCUCCGUUCUUCCUUACCACUCUCACUGUCGGCUCCCUCUCUCUCUCCCCCAUCGAUUGCAUCUCUCACGGCACCUCACUCUCUCGGCUGUCUCAAAGAGAAAGACCAGAUGCUAAUGAUGUCAUCUCUAAUUCAGAAAAACAUAUCCCAAAAAGAAUUACAUCAAGUUUUAUUAGGGGCCAUACCAGAGGCAAAAAGAAAUGAAAUCCAAUACAUAAUAUCCCAAACAACAAAACCUAAGAAAUAAACUAACAAAUAAGUAACAUUGACAGCCCAAAAAUAAGUUUCCUUUCAAAAAGUCGACACAAGCCAACAAUUGCAUAAAAGAAUUUUGCCUCAAUUAUUUCUACAUCUAACAUCCCCAAACACAACCUAUUGCUCUAUUGGUAUACACUAGCAACUGAAGGAGCUGAGUUUACGGUUGGCAAUUAUUCUUCACUAAUAUCUGAUGCAAUUCACUGCUUGCUUUUGGCAUCUAUAUGUGUAGAGAAUUGAUGGUUUCCUUGCUGGUUUCCUCGCUGUACUUAGCAUUACUAGGGGAAACUUUUCACCACAAUCACAGAAGCUGUCAUUUUCUGUUACUAGAGUGGAUGGGGAUUGCUAUUUACUCUAUUAUGCAUCCAUAGAUAUUGGAUUUGGAGGGGGGAGAGCUAGAGUAACCCACGGCUGUUGGAUUUGGAGGGAGGAGAGAGAGAGCCGUGUGUUGUGAGGAAGAACAGAGAGAGCGUGAGGAAGAACGUGAGGGAAAGAGCGUGUGCUGUAGUUGAGAGCGUGUGUGUUGCAAUUGUCGAUUUACAGAGAGAGCGUGAGAAACAUUUCCAAAGUUGUUUCCCUUUACUCAUUUUUUUUUUAUUUCUUGUGGGUCCACACAAAUUUAAAAGAAACAAAAAUCUAACACGUGAAACAGCAAUUCAAAAUUGCGUUUCUGUCGUCCUUUUGUCUUCAUUGAGUUAGUUUAUCAUUUUCCUUAUAACAACCGAAACACUCCGGAAAUCCAAUGCAUUUAACAAAAGGCACGCGCACACAAGCAUGACAAUUGAUUCACACAUGCAUAUUUAAUUAAUUAACUAAAACAUGGUACUUGAAAAGUCUUUGCGGGUGCCUACAAAUUGAUAUUUAGACUGUUCCACCAUUCAACCUGAAAUCAUCAAGUGAAAGAAACAAGAUCAUGCAUGUUGUUAGAUUUUGAAAGGAUAGCGAAGAUGGCACUAGAUUAAUCAAAUUGUGACACCUCCUUACAUAAGAAUAACCAAAUUGUUCAUAUUAGAGGACUCUUGUUCCAAAAUGUGCUUCAGAUCACAUAACUUAUUUUCUUUUCUUAUGAUAACCUCCAUCCCAUUUUCAACCUUUUCUUUCGACAGCCAUUCAUCAUAUCCUUCUAUUUGGAGAACUUUCAUGGUAGGAAAUCUCUUGAGGAAAUCAUCAAGUGAUAAAAUAGGAGUCCACUCAUCAGCAAACUCCACAUUAGGACAUUUAAAGUUUACAUAACUAGUCUUCCGAAAAUAGACAUUUAUUUGAUCAAUCAGAACAAAAAAAAAAAAUUGCAAAAUGGAUUAGUUGAUGUUCUUUCUAACAAUUUCACAAAAUUAGUAUUGUAAUUUUUAGAGAGAAUUUAACAAAAAAUAAAAGAAUUAGAAGCUACGGCUAGCUAAAACAAUAUAUUUAUCCAAAAAAAAACUACCUUUUAGAAAAUAAUAACAAUACACCUAACAUGCAGAAAGUAUAUAUAUAAGAAUUGAAUAAUUAAUUAUAAAUUUCAUAUACGUACCUUUUCUGUCAAGUCAUCUCAAACAGAGGCCAAGUAUUGUUGAGAUCAGAGGAUUGAUAAUAACAAAAGAUUGUUGGCAAAAGCGGAAUAACAAAUCAACAAUGAACACAACAAAACCGAAGCAAAGUGUGUCUCUGAUCAAAAGAUGGAAAUAAUAAGGAAAGGGUUUGUUGAUUUUUAGGAAUGAAUGCAAAGAGAAUGGCCGAUGCUAAAAAUUAUUUCAUUAAUGGAGAGAGGUAGAGAUAAUGGACGUAAAUAAGGGAAAGGAUUUUGCGGAUUGCAAUGACAUCCGCAUCAGAAGGAUAAAAAAUUGAAGUGAGCCUUUUUAUUUUUAGUGCAUGCUACGCUGUACGCCUAAGGUCCUUUUAUUUUAAAAUCUCGGAAUAAAGAUGGAUUAUUGAGUAUACGGGAUGAAAAGGUGGUAGCUUUAAAUUAUGGUUAUUUGUUAGCCUAGGGAUGAUAGACCAAGUAUAAAUGUUAAAUUCAGAACAGAAUAUUUAUGAUGUCAGUUGGUACUUGGUACUAAAAUCCUGAAUACUUGAGUAGUUAAAAGCCAAAAUUAAAUAUUAAAAUAUACAAAGGAGAACAAUGGUUUGCUAAAGGUUUAAGGAGUGAGGUUCCUUUCCGCUCAUUGAAGAAAAUCUAGGAACAAUAAUGCCGAUUCAACCAUGUAUAAUUUAAUGUUAAUUAAAGUUAAAGCCAUCAUAUUCGUAAAUAUGCUUGGAUUAAAGCUGUUGUGUUGAAUAUACAUAUAAUAAUCAUUGCUCAAGUUUCCGAAAUGUGAAUCUUUAAAUGUCCAUUUCUUCACUCUGAGGAGAUGUUAACGAGGAAGAUGAAGCAAUGCUAUAACAGUGUUUAAUUUCUUGCGACCAUUUCACCAAAUACUUGGUACGCAUAAAUGGUCAAUCAUACUUGUCAAAAAAAUUGAUGAACAUUCACUCCUACAGAAGCAAAUCAAUGUUUGUAAAAAUCAUAAUUAGCCAAAGAAAGUUCAUGUAAUGUUUGUAAAAAUCAUAAUUAGCCGAUGAAAGUUCAUGUAUUUUUUUUUCUUUUAAGAUUCAAGACAAUUCUUCAAAGAUGAAAUCAGUUUUUAUUGAUACGUUCAACAAAUUCGAAGGCAUUCGAACCUUUUGUGGCACGAAUUGCUAGUUUUCUACACAAUUAAUCAAAUCAACGACAAAGUACAAAAUAUGUUAUUGCAUUUGUUUUGUUAUAUAUGUGUGUUACAAAAAUAGAGAUAAUCGCUAUGCCAAUAAAAUAACAGUAAUGAUAUGCUUACUACCAUUAAUAUUGCCGUUAGUAGUUUGUACACCAUUACUACUGGAUAAAAAAAAAUUUACUACAAAACAAAAGAAAAUUAAAUGAUAAUACAAAUUGUUUUUGGUCUCUUAUAGAUUUUGUACUAAUUAUUAUACUAAUUAUCAAUAUUCAUAAGAAAAUAAUGUACAACAAUGAAGGAACUAUACAGAGGUAAAAACAUUUUUUUUUUAAUUUUUUUAAUGAAAGUAAAGAUUUAUUUUGGUACUUGGAAGGAUAUACAAAGCAAAAGAGUAUAUGAUAAAGUGCAAAAAACCACACCCUUCAUGGUAAUAUAAUGAGUUGAAUUAUUUUUUAAAUCUAGUUAAAAAUUUAGCUUAAUUGUAAAUAAAGUGAAAAGAGCUAGAUUGAUUGUCAAUAUCAAAAUUUAAAAUUUAAUUUUGAUCACCCAUUUAACUAGAAGAGAUUAAGAGAGGAAAGAAAACUAAGAGAAGAUCUUUGUCCCAUGAAUAAACUCAAGAUGUAUCAAACAGAUACUUUUGGUGAAGUCAGGGGAGCUGCAAGACUGCUCUUUCCCGCCCCUUUGUAACGAACUUAACUGACCUUUGACUUGGUCAGAAUACGUGAUGCACGCAAUGCAAGCACGUGAGGACCCAAAUGAGGAAUUCCAAAAGUUGGACACCCCCAAACGCAGCGUUUUGGUUCUGGUCUUGAAUAUUGAUUCAUCAACAACAAAUAUCAUUCCAACUUUGGGGGGGGGGGGGGGGGACACCAUAAACUAUACCUUUUCCAUUCAUUAUAUCAUAAGAAUACAAUGAUUAACAAUAUCAAAUUUAAGUGACAAUCAAUAAAAACUGAAGCCAAUAUAUACACAACACUGAAACAAUGAAAUUGUUAUUGUUUGACAAAAUAAAAAAUUAUACAAAUUAAACAAACUGAAAAAAGAAAAGAAAUUGUGGUGAGCGCGAAGCAGCUGCACUUGGACAUUCAAGAGAAAGAUAGUUAUUUUCCUCCAGAAACAACUACAAUUACAUAAAAAGGUAACUUUUCAUCUCUUUCAAUUUCUUAUACACACAACUGAAGAGAGAUAUAGAAAAUUAAAGGAAAAAAAAUGAGAGAGAGACACAUAAUAGAUUUUGCAGGAGCACAAUUGUCCCUCAGUUGUGUAUAUAAGAAAUUGAAAGAGAGAACCCCUUUCUGAAUGAAAAGUUCCCUUUAUAUAGUCAUUAUAGUGUCUUUGACGAAUAUCAGACCGACAUUUUAGACCUUUGGAAACUCAAGACAACAAAGGCUAAUUUAGCCAUUUUAAGAAAUUAUGAUUUCGUCCCUUCAAUAUUAUCAAUGUAAAUUCCAUCCGUCGUUCCAUUACGGGAAGACCACGCAACCAGAGCAUUAUACCAAUUUUGUAUAUCCGCGUCAAUCUUUAUAAUAAUAAUACUAAAAAGUUCCGAAGAGAAAAAGGGGGGAUAGGCGGCGGGUCCCUAUUGGGCCAGAAGUUACGGACUGUAGAAGCUAAGCCACAGAGCUCCCAUUGGAGAGUCGAUCACGGCCACCACCGAGCCCAGCGUGGAUUUACAAGAGCAGUUGGCCGCACUCGUGCUCGUCAAAAAGUGAUAAUAUUUCAGGGCUGAUGCUACAAUACCUGCAUGUAUCUGAUACAUGCAGGUUUUAUGGCCGUUGGAUUCAUUGUAUUAAAUCCAACGGCCAUAAGUGAAUUUAAACAAUAAAUAAUUAAAAAAAUAUAAAAAAUUUGAAACCUAUAGAAUCGGUCUCAACACACACCAAACCCCCUCAACACACAUCAAACCCAGGCAUAUAUAUUUGUUGGAAAAAAAAACAAAAGGCUCUCUCACCUCACGCUGGAAAUCAAUUUCUUCUUCCCUCCCUCCUGACUCACGGUUCACGGCUCACGGCUAGCUCUCCCUCUCCCUCUUCACUCACCCUCACGGCUCCCUCUCCCUCUCCCUCAUCAUUCACUCUCUCGCUUGCAGUCCCUCACGAGACGCCUCAUCAAGGCCACCAACGACGGCGCUAUCCGGCGACGACACAAGGAGGUAGAUCUCCAUUGGCGGCAAGGAUCCACAGCUAUAGAUUCACAACCCACUCAGUUCCCGUCAGCCCAUUCUGAGUCAUUGUCAGGCCAUCUCUGCAGUCCACCUACGGUAAUGAGACAUGGGUAUCAUGGGUUUUGCUUGGUAUCAUUAUAUUUGUUGAUUGAGUGUUUUAUUUGAUGUGGUAAGAAGAAUCAUUCGCCUCUCAUAUUUAAAAAUUACAACUUUUACCAUGUAAGUUUAUUAGUGCGUAUUGUUGGGUUAUGUAAUAAUUUACAUGGAUUUAGAAUUCGUGGACAGAGUUUGAUGACAUUAUCAAUGUGUAUUGACAAGGGACAUAAGUUUUAGUGUACACAGUAUAAUGGUUAAGCGUAAGGCCAAUGUCGCAGAUGACAUUAAUAUUCAGUUUGAGAAGUUGGAUCCUCCAAGGCCGGGCAAGCAUUCGUACAUAUACUGCUUGUAAGAAACUAAUUCAUUGUUGAAUUUUAUUCUUGACAUUCUGUAGUCAUUUCAGUUUAACAGUGCAAUAAUUUUAAUUGACAUAUAAAGAACUGAUAUUUGAUAUUAUUUUUCUAUCUACAGCAAGAUAGAAUCCCAAAAGUUAAAGGAAGAAGGUGUGAAGGUGGACGAAACGGUUUGUAGACAACUUUUCUAUGUUACAAUCUACUAACUAAUAGUUUCGUUGAUGAUUGGCCAAAUAAUUUUUUUUUUUAGUGUAGGUUAAGGGGCGUAUACGUGACAAAUGGUUGAAACUCAGCGCGAAAGAUAAAGCUGAAUUCAUCAACAAUUAUAAUGAAAAGGUUGAAAUGAACUCGAGAUUGGCUAGUGGAUUGUUAAGUGAACCGAUUCCAACAAUGGAGAACAAUUCUGAUAAGGGUAAUCACAUAUCUCGAUGUAGUGUUUUGCGGUUCUCCAACAUUGUUUCUUCGUUAUCUAUUGAACAGCAAGAUGAUGUGAGAGAAAUUGGUUUCGGAAGCUUAUUAGGUUUAAAAUGUGGGUGACUUAGGCAAGAUUUAUGUAGAUUGUUAGUUAAGCAAUGUAACGUAGAUAAGCGGUCAAUAACAGUCCAUGGAAUGGAAUACAAGCUUACCCCGGAAACUUUUACAAGCGUGAUGGGUAUUGGUGACGGAGGAACACCGAUUGUGCUUGGUGGUGAAGAUAGUGAAAUUACUGACUUACGAGCCAAGUAUUGCUCAGGAAAGAAAGGCAUCCCAAUAGGUAGUUUAGAUGACAAAUUAAAGAUAAAUAGUUGUGCAGAUGAAGAUUUUUGUAUUCUAUUUAGUCUAUUUGCGAUUGGAACUAUUUUGUGUCCAACUACAGCUGCAUACAUCAACCCAUCAUACCUUUAUGCUUUAAAAGACGUGAGUAACAUUCGCGGCAAAAAUUGGGCCAACUGGUCUUUCAAUUUUUUAUGGGAUAAAGUUUCAAAGUUCAACGAAAAUAAAAUUUCCUCGAUGAACGGAUGCGUUAUAUUUUUAAUGGUAUGAUUUAUUUAGUAAUUUGUAUUCUCGUUAGUUAAAAGAUUAUGGUAUUAUUGAUCAUUAUUUUCGUAUUAACCAAUUUGUUGUUUGUAGCUGUUCUACAUGUCAUCAACUAAGUUUCAGCUUUCUUCUGUUGCCGAGAAUGGAUGUCCUCUUAGUGCAUGGACUGAUAGUGAAAUAAAAAGAUUCCUCAAGUGGCGACAAAAGUAUGGUGACUUUGAGAGCAAUGCAGUUUGUUCCCUUCCAUAAUUGUAAAGUGUUUUGUAGUUAUGUUAUUAAAUUGAAUAGAUUAUUUAUGUAUAUUUGUAGUUAAUGCAGGUUCCGAUGCGAGAAAUCAGUUGCGGCACAUCAUGUGCUUAAAGUGACGGACAAAUUGACGAUGGUGACGCCGCAAGGCAGCAUCCAUUUCAUGCUAUAUUAGCAGUAAUGGGUAGAAUAGAGGAACAUAUGAGAAGAAAUAAUGAUUUACUACAAAAAAUGGGCUUGAAAAUGGAUUCUCUUACUGAAAAGGUUGAAACGUUAGAACGAGCAUAUUUUCGACAAGUAGGAGCGAAUGUCACUGAUGAUAGUCAAUCACUAUCAUCAAUCACUUCCUACAUAUAUGGUGCCGAGGCAACUGAUGGUCUAAUCUUUUCCUCUUCGAAUAUGGAGAUGCACCCACCUAUCCCUGCAAUUGUCACGCUUUCAGAUCUAGUAUGGGAAAAGCAUACGCCCAUCGAAGUUAAAGAACGCAAAGUUGUGUACCUUAGCACAUCCACUGAUGAAGAGGCUAUCCUAAAAGAAAAGUUGGUAGAAGUAUUGCAAGAUGCGAUAAAGCCUAAAUUUGUGCCGGAACUUGAAGAUGAGGUAUACAUAGAGUAAUAAUUUAUUAACUUUUGUUUAAACUAUAUAUGAUUUAGUCUAAUCUUUCUUCUUUCUUUGUGUUGAAUAAAUAUGUAGUCUUCCGCGCAACAAGAGAAGAAAUGUCAACAGCCGCAAGAUUUUAAUCUGUUGUCUUUAGGCCCUACUCAGCCAUACAGAAAUCGAAAGCGGGGGCGGUACCAAUUGUCCCCAUAUGAUCAAGUCUCACAUGGUCCAAAGCCAAAAUAUCGAGCAGACCCUUUUUCGUGAAUGAGCCGGUGACCCUCGAUCAAUUGAAGAUGCUCCAGUAGGGAUUUGACAAAAGCGCUAGCCUAGAGUAACAAUGCCUUCAUGCUCACUCAUCAAGUUGUUUUCAUUUAAUAUGUUGUCAUAGUUAUUUGAUUUUGUUAAUAUAUCAUGUGAUUUACAUACAGUGAAAUAAUUAUGCGAUCAAGUCAUGAGGAUAUCACUCGGCGAGGCUUGUUAUCACUUUUGCCCGAUGCAUCACCAGACGAGGAGGUUUGCUCGUAAUUUGACUUUAAUGAUGAAAUUGUAGUUAAUAAAACUAAUUAUAAUUGUUCUUGUGUUUAGAUUAUUUGGAUGAUAAGUGAUUACCUUACACAAUGUGAGUCGUGCAAAAGCCACGGACAACCAAUCAGUUGGUUCCUACCAACAAGAUAUAUAGUUACUGAUCCGUUCCUGUCUUUUUUUUUUUCAUAUCCUUUUUCUCAUCAUUAACUACAGUAAUUUCAGUUGUAUUUUAUAUGAAUUUAAUAUGAUGAAUAUGUAGCAAUUGCUACAAUGCCAAAUGCACAUUUAGAUGGUUUCAAGGCUGCCUCCCAAUACCGCAAACGUUACAUGUAUGACCUGCACCGGUGCCAUCAGGUAGCGUGUGUGUUUGGUGAAAUGGUUUUUCGUUAUGAUCGAUAUUAUGUAUGGUAAACGUGACCCCAAGUUGUUCUUGAAUAGAUCUUUGUUCCCAUGCAUGAUGGUGGCCACCAUUGGUUUAUGCUGUUGGUUAAAAUUAAAGACAAACAAGCGGAGAUCUGGGAUCCACUACCGGAUGCACGACGGACACAAGAUCGAGAAAUCUAAGUGAAUAGUAUUGUAAGCCCAACUAAUUUUUGAUAAAAAAGAUGAGUUUAGUUUUAUGUGUAUUGUGUUAUUAAUACAUGUGAUGUAUUUUUGCACUUGAAAAUAGUUACACUCGUUGGAUGCUAUACUUCAUGGCGUCGUGGAUGCUACAUAUUCAGUAACUUGGAGUUUCUUGUCAUUUGUAGUGAUCCAUGGGGAAGGAGUUCCACGGCAACCUAACAGUUUUGAUUAUGGAGUUAACGUCAUCAAAUUUAUGGAUACUCCUGGAAUCAUCACCAACAAAUCGUAUGUGGUAUGCUUCCUUAUUUGCCUUAUGUGGUUUCUUGGUUGAUUUUACUACUGUUGUUGGGCCAUUGACAUGAUGAAAGUGCAUGAUUAUUUCCGCAGCACGACUCACAGAAUGUUCAGGCGCAACUUGCGUUACAACUUAUAGACUCUUCGUUCAACGAACAAUGCGAUCAAUUAUUGGCGUUGGCUAAUGCACACUAUAGUAACGCUGUAACGUACAUAAAUGAAUCGAAGCUUGCAUCAACAAUGAAGCCUCGUAAUGUGUCCACCAGGAAAGGUCAUAAGAACAGUUGCACAAAACGUUGUUUCAGGCGGAAGGGCUGAGAUUGUUGUGAAUAUAGAUUAUGGUAAUUUUUUGCUAACUUCAUUCACAACUCUAAACUUUUGCUAAAUUUACCUUGUAACUGGCGUUGACGUACGAGUCAUGUAAAUUGUUUUGAUGAUCCGAAGCCGUAGAGGGAUUAAUGGGGCAAUUAUAAUUUUUUCCUUCGUCAACCAGUUGUAUUAAUUAAUACAUGUUGAAAUGAAGAUAAUUGCUGUAAAUGUUGCUAUUAUCACUAAGUACGCAAAAUAUGUUAUUACAUUGCCAUUGUUCACUUCUUACAUGAUAAUAUAACUCAAUGAUUUCCAAAAAGUUCGUUCUGCCCCCUCGGUUCAGAUCCAAAAAGUGCAUCAUUAGCGAUCAUCAUCCAUCCUCCAAGUAUGUGUACCGUCGUCAACUAAGCAUAAUAUAAAUCCGAGUUAGUUAAACAACCUAAGAAAGUUUGCCAGGCAAAUUCAUAUAUCAUGGGAUAUCACUUACAAGUUAUUAUGAGGCCACCAAUUAUAGUAUGUGCUUGCAUCGGUUUCAUAGGUUAUACCAAUUGUGUUACUGCUGUCGUAAUGGCCGUCAAUUGCUUCUGAGAUGUCAUGCCUCCAAGGACAAGUUGUCUCGAAUGUAAAGGUUGGGGAACUUGGCGAGCCUGAUUCCAUCGAAACAGGUGGUGUCAACACAUUAUAAGAACAAUGCCUUGGCUGAUCGUUAGUCGAAACACAACCAGUACCGCCAACGUUGCAAUAAAGGUCAUUAGGCUGCAUGUCCUUUUGGCGGAUAUAGCGGGCAAGUCCGUUUAGUAUGGCCAGACUAAAAACACUUACUGCAUUUGCGAUUUUUAGCCCCAUCAUGUUUAACGGUUUUAGAGCUACCUUUACUGUUAACUAUAAUCGAGUCUUUCAACUUCAUACCUGCUUGAAAUACACAAUUCCUGGCUCAUUUAGCUGAUUCAUCAUCGGCAACCAUCUGUUCAACGCGAAGCGUCAGCCGUUGAAUCUCGUCUAACGCUAUCAUAUAACUUUGUUCAUUCUUUGUAGCGAAAAGACAAAGAUUCGUACAUGCCACUGAAAGCGAGCCAAACUUUAUUGUUUCUAACACUUCCUUAUCAAGGUGUGACGCUGCAGCGGUCAUUUUCAUCACUUUACUCACCUUCGCUGAUUUAGUUCAGUGACCAAGAAUCAAUGUUGGUGGUAUGCGAACUAGUUGCUUGAACUUUAUAACGUGAAAUAUUUGCCUACAUGGAAUACCUGCUGAUUCUAUCAUCUUACAUGAAUAAAUAAUUGCAACUUCUUUAUUAUAAAGUAUCACUGUCCAUUUUUAUUCUGGAUGCUGAAAUUUCGUCAAAAUAUAGAUGUUGGAAUUAGCUAUCUUGGCACACCCGAGCAUAAUUAGCGUGGCUUCUCCGAGGAUCUCCAUCCGAACCCACUUCAAUACAUUCCUUGUAUAUAUUUCGGAUGCAUGUUUUUCAAUGCUUUGCAGAUGUGUUGUAAGAACUAGGGCUGUGUGGUUUGUCUCAUACUCAUCUUGGACUUCUUUGUGCCGUAUGCAAUACAUUGCAUGAUGAAUUUGUCUAAUGAAAUCAUAUAGUUUUAGCUUCUGCUCAACAAAGCGACGCAAGUAAGAAUUCAAGUUCUCACACCUUUGUGUGGUUCGCAUUCCGGCGAAAAAGGUUCCUUUCAAAUAAGCCUCUGUCCAUUUUCUACGCUUUGCAUACAUUUUUUCCACCCAAGGAUUUUGUUCCAGUCCCAGAUUAUAGACAACAGAGAACCAAUCUCGAUCAAACUCCUCUAUGGACAUUGCAUUCAACAUUAACUGCCGAAACUUCAACGUGAACUCAUUUCUCUUCACAUUUGCUUGUGCAUUCCGCUCAAGAUUCCAGCAACAGAGUCGAUGUACACAUCCAGACAUAACCGUUUUAAUCGCUUUACAUAGCUUUAUCACCAUCUGUUAUGACACUUAUGGGUUUUUUUUUGUUUCAUUGCUGAUAAGAAAGUCUGUAUCAGCUACACAUAUGAUUUAACAGUUUUGUUAAUCAGUAUCGCAAAUCCAAAAACAGUAGUUCUUUUAUGAUGAUUUACGCCAACGAAUGCGACUAAAGGUUUGUUGUAUGCAUUUUUCUUGUACGUUGCAUCAAAAGCUAAAACAUCUCCAAAUUGUUCAUAGUCGUACCGAGCAACAGUGUCGGUCCAGAACAAGUUUCGCAGUCGAUUUUCCUCAUCAAGUGUAUACUCGAAGUACACUCCAGCAUCAUAAUUUGUGCACAGUGAUUUGCGUCUAUUCUAUUCCGCAUGUCCUUACCCAUAUACCCAACAUGAUGGAACCCUCCUACUUGGUCAGACUUGUAAUUCAUGAAUUGUCACACUUUCACGCCAACUUGUCGCAAUGCCUUUGCGUGAGCCAAAUCAGCUUCGUUGACAAGUCUAUGCGAACGAAGAAAUUGUGUCUCGUGCGGUUCAACCAACCGAUGAGUGUGGUAAAAAACAAAUUUAGUUACCACGUACUUCCCUUUCAACUUAUCAUAGUUCACGCGAAGUUCCGCUUUGCACCCAUUACGAGUAAUGCCCCUCAGUUCCCUGAUUCUAUCUGUUUUCUCCAUCCAUUUUUUUAGCAUGUAUCCUUGCCCUGAGCAAACCUAUCGCCGACUUGCUACUUCACCACUUUUGCAGUCACGACGGAGUUUAUCUGUUGUCACAGAGAAUCCAACCGACUUAACAUAAUUUUUAUACCAUAUGUGGGCAUCAUUGACAGUAUUAAAACAGGAUCCGACACCCACUUCAAUGAGUUCACUUUUUUUAGCCAAACUGUUGGUCGUAUGACCAGAUGAUAUUGUAGCAGAUUUGUCCCCAAAAUAUUCAUUGCUUUCGCUAGUUUGUGGGGGUAAUGACGUACCUGCACUUGCACAAAUUUCCAUCCCAUUAUCAUAUAAUGGGUUAUCUUGGGCUCCACUUGUUUUCUGUUCCAAUGGCUGGUUAUCAUUGAGGUCUAACACCCAUGCAGAAAUGCUUCCCGCGUCUGAAGAUGUUGUCAUGCUCUCUGGUUAUCUUCUCUCAAGACUCUACCAUUUCAAGACCAUCAAAAGGACCUACUUGAAGACUUAGAAGAGUACUGCGUGGGUUAUGUUUGUUUGACAUUUAAUGUCUUCAUUAAAUGAUGGGGUUUGGUUGGUGCUUGGAUUGGUGGAUACAUCCUUUAAACGGCUAGCCUAUUACCUAUAAAGGCUAGUCGGUUUCGCAUUUGUGCUCUCUGGACAUUAAACGGCUAGCCUCUUAAACUCAUGCGGCCAGCCUUUAUCGAUUUGAUGUUCAGUGGAGGGGAAACCGCUAACCUCUAAAAUUGUAGAGGGUAGCCAUUUGUGUAUGGGUGCUCAUUGGAGGGGAAACGACUAGCCGUUUGUGUAUGGGUGCUCAUUGGAGGGGAAAUGGCUAGCCUCUAAAAUUUUAGAGGCUAGCGGUUUGAGUAUGGGUGCUCACUGGAGGGGAAACGGGUAGCCUCUAAAAUUUAAAAGGCUACCCUUUUUCGCGUUGGGGCUCAUUGGUUCAAAAACGGCUAGCCUAUAAAAUGGUGGAGGCUAGCCAUUAGUGUAUGAGUGCUAACUGGAGGGGAAACGACUAGCCUCUAAAAUUGUGGAGGCUACCCGUUUUUUAUUUUGGUGAUCACCAUUAGUGAAAACGGCUAGCCUGUAAAAUUUAGAGGCUAGCCGUUUUUUGUUUUGGUGCUCUCUGGACAUUAAACGGCUAGCCUCUAAAAAGAAAAGGCUACCCGUUUUUGCUUUUUGGGCUCUCUGGACAUUAAACGGCUAGCCUCUAAAAAUAAAAGGCUAGCCGUUUUCGCUUUUGGCGCUCUCUGAACAUUAAACGACUAGCCUAUAAAAAUAAAAGGCUAGCCGUUUUCGCUUACUAUAGUUUCUGGAACACGAACGGUCACCAUAUUAUUUUGUAAUGGUUAGUCGGGUUCAAAGUAAUGAAACCGUUCAUCUUCGUCUUCACAAACCAGUUAGCCGCUUCUCACUCUAAAACUCGAAUCCUCUCUCCCACGUUCUCAGUCGAAAUAUCCCAUGUUUAUAAUCAGUUCAUACCCAUAUUCAAUCUUAGAAAUCAUUUCCCACCAUUUGCUCUUGCUAAAUUUAACCGUCAAAACUGAAAAACCCGAGGUUGUAAACCCUAGGUCCAAUUUUUGAAUCUUCGGUAAAUGUUUACCGAAAUUGAACCCACGUAUCCCUUUUAAACAUCAUUAUCUUCCAUCUAAUCGGUUUAUUCCUCUUCAAAUCGAUGAAAAAUCAUAAUGUCAACUUCAUGGCCACGUAGAGCGAAAGACAAAGGGAAAGAGCCAAUUCCACCACCCAAACGGACACGGAAGGACGGGGGCCCUGUAGAACAACCUGAUUUCGAAUCAAGACACUUCCCAGACAAGUGUUUGGCCACCCGUUUUCGCCAAAGAUUCAUGACCCGUAAGGUACUUGAUACAUUCUAUAUUGUGCCUGAUUGGCUUCGUAGUCUUAGUAUUAACAAUGGAAAUUUGUUGCAAUUGUUGGAGGAAGUUGGUUGGAUUAAUGCCCUUACGAUUAAUGAGAAUGUAUAUCCUGACUUGGUGAAAGUUUUUUACUCGAAUAUGGAUACUUCCACGGAGAAAGAGAAUCGAGUAAUCACCAACGUUGGAAGAGUUUUGAUUGAAUUUGAUGGUACUGAAUUGAACUCUAUCCUACAAACCUCCGAAGAUGGGUUAGAAAUAUAUUCUGCUUGGAAAGUUCCUACGAUUGAUAACUUUUUUCAUGUUGAUGCCGUUAGAAACAUUUGUAGUGCAUUGAUCUUUCUGAUGAGGUCUGUACAAUUCAUUUCCGUGCUCAAUGUCUAUGCCUUCAAUCGCGUAUUUUACAUCGUAUAAUUCAGAAUAUUGUCCUUCCUCGGUCGGGCCACUUAGAUGAUGUUACCCACAUGGAUGUUGCUUUGAUUGAUUCUAUCCCCAGGUAUCGUCCGGUUAGCCUCGGAUACACUAUUAUACGUACCAUGCUUUCCAUACCUAUCUUGAUCAGUCGUGCUCUUCCAUAUGAAAAUUUCAUCACGCAUAUCCUUAAAUACUUUUGGGUGCCCAUAAACGAACCGUCUUGUAAACCCUGUAGGAGUAUAGAAGAUGAGGUUGUGUAUGCCUUAGGAUUUGAGUGGCGUAAUGGAGCAUGGGUGAAGUAUACUGAAGCUAAGUACACAAUGCUUGCUCCGAGUGAUGAUCGUCCUUUGAAUUCUGUGGUUCCUGCUGAUCAGCUGCCUAAUUUUUCACUUCCUUUCUGGGGUCAACAUAGACGUGAGGACCCUCCUACCUGUGAACCUUAUCAUGAUGCUUCUGCAUCUGCUAUACCACCUGCAGAUCCACAUGACUUCGGCGAAGUUACUCUUCAACAACUUAUGGACGAGGUGAGGACACUUUCUGUACAGCAGACUAGCUUUCAGCAUCACGUUCUGGAGGAGCACCGGUAUCUCUCAGAGCAGCAUCAGCAGCUCCUCCACGGACAACACCUCAUGUUCGAGCACUUUGGUAUUCCUUAUCCGUUUCCACCUCCACCACCACCAUCCCCGCCGCCUCAGUAGUUUUCAUUUCUUUAUGCCAUUAUGUAUGUUUGGAUGUUAGUUUUAUGUUCGGAUGGUUGUUUUAUAUGUUCGGAAGUUUGUUUGACAAGUUUGAAAGUUUGUUUUAUUUGUUUGGAUGGUUGUUUUACGUGUUCGGAUGGUUGUUUUACGUGUUCGGAUAUGGAUUUAAAGAGUUCACAAGUUUGUUUUACAUGUUCGGAAGUUUAUUUUAUAUGUUCGGAUGGCUACUGCUUAUUGUAGCAAUAGUAGCAGCUGCUGGGUGCUUAUGACAGCAACUUCUGUUGUUGUUGCUGUCGUAAGACAGCAGCUGCUAGCAGCUAGCAGCAGCAGCAAGAAUGAAUGCAAUUGUUUUUGCUCUUGUAGCUGCUUAUGCGGCAACAGUUGCUGUUGGAAUGCCAGCAGCUGGUAAUAUAUGCACCUCGAUUUCUUUAAUUGAGUGUAUUAUAUUUUUUCUUUUGGCAUUCGCUUUAAGUGAUUAAAUUAGUUGCAACUUGUUACGAGUAAUUUUGAUGCGUUUAUUAAUUAGAUCAUGUUUGAAUUAUUUUAAAAUUGUCACAACAUUAAAUCGAGCGCGAUUAAGAACUCGGGUAGUCAGAUUUUAUUUUCGUCACGGGUUCGGUAUUAGCUUAAUUUGUAUUAAGCUUAAGUGAGAAGGGAAAAAAAAGGGGCCGGCUCUAUAAAUUGUGAGAGAGAGGGGGGAAGGAGAGAGAGAGAGAGAGGAAGAAGUUGACCGGGUUUGACCCGACCCGGAUCUGACCCGCGACCUUGACCCGGUCAGAUCUCGCUAUUCCGGCCACCUCACCAGCCGAGCAACGUACCGAUAUGAAGCUUGAAAGCCGGCCGUCAUACCCCAGCCGUCCUCGUCUCCGGAAAACGGCCAGAAUGCCGGCAAUUUAGUUUGAAAAAACCUGCUGCUCAACCCGUUUUUGUCGCCGUCAAUCUCGCCAGAUUUUAGCCAUUCCACCGCCUGGAUCUUGUUCCUCAACUCACGCUCAUCACUUUCCGACCUACCACGACCAUCGCAGACACCAUCUUGGCCGCUAACGACCACCGGGAAAUGCACGGAUUUUGGAGCUUCAAUUCGCCACCGUUGCCGCGCGUGAGUUGUCAACGACGGCACCGUUGGACUCACCGAGGUCUGAACUAUCAGACCUGAGCUUUCCGUCGUCGUUGACUGAAUUCCAGUCAUCGUUGACCGGUAGGGGCAAUUCGAUAAUUUCACAAAAACUUAGGGGUAAGUUUGUAAUUUACGAAAAUGGUCGAUAAUUUGGUAAUUUUAGAUUAGGGUAGUGAGGUAAGUUGAGAUUUAGAGGGUAAUUUAGUGAUUCAAGUUAUUAAGGGCAUUUUGGUAAUUUUACACUCCAAGGGCAAUUUUCUAAAUUAUGACAUUGUGCUUAUUUUUGUGAUCUGAAUUGUGGACAAUUUGGUAAUUGAAGAUUCUGAAGAUAAUUUGGUAAAUAUUGAUGUCGGGGACAUUUUGGUAAUUUUGGCACACAAGGGUAUUUUGGUAAUUUCAUGCAUACGGGAAUAGUUGAUUAUAAAUGAAUAUUUGGUUUUGAGCUCUAUUGCAUAAAAUUAGUUGUAUUUCAUGUUUACAUAAAAUGAUUUUGUUGUUUACUUGAUUAGGAGGACCCGCGAGCGAGAAUCAACCUGUGAAUGUUUGUGAUACCAAGUCUGGACACCGUCACUGUGGGUGGAAUAUAAAAAAUUUAUUUUCAUUAUAUAUUCUGAUUUUAUGAUACAGUACAACAUGUUUUGAUGAAUAAGUAUAUAAUGUUCUGAUUUAAAAUUUUUUAGAAAUGGAUUUUAUUCUACGUGCUGAUAUUUAUCAUUAUUAAAAAUGAAUUUGAUUGAUGAUUUUAUUAUCGUUUUUGAGUAAAUGCAUGGUAAUACUUUUAAAGAGAAUAAAGUGGAUUUGAAGUAUGUAAGGUGGAAAUAAAAUGAGAUUUCAUAUGUGAUUAUAUGUUUAUGUACAUGUGUAUUAAAGGUUGUUUGGAAAAUCAUUAGACAGUACCCUUCCCCUUCAGAUACAGUAAUAUAAAUGAUAUGAGAUGAAUACAAUGAUACAGAUGAUAUGAGAUGAGAGGCCUUUGGGGUCUGUCUGAACAUACAUAGAGGCUUUGGGUCGUAUGUUGGGCGCUUUUGCCUUUUGGGGGUAUAUGCAUGCAGUAUGAUGAUUAUAGAGAUACAGAUAUUGAGAUACAGAUGAUACAAAUGUGAUUUAGGCAUUUGGGGUCCGUCUGAGUACACACAGAGGCUUUGGGCCAUGUACUUGGGUGUCUUGUCUUUUGGGAACCAGAUUAUUCGUGCACAGAUAUGAUGAGAUAUAUGAGAUAUGAGAUGGCAUUUCCCCGUCUAUCCGUUGUAGCUCCGGGGCAUGAUGGUUCCCUGAUUGCCCGUCCAUCGAGGUCCGGAUAUGAUGAGAUUAUUCCCCUGGGUGCUUGUUUGGUGAUAGUUAUCAAUAUUUCAGUAUUUGAUAUUACAAGUGUUAUGAUUUCAUUGAUUUUAUGCGGAUUUAUGUGACAUUGUUGUUCAAGUACAUGGUUUGAAUUAAUAAGUUUUAUUUAAGUUCUUAUGAUAUUUUGAUGAGAUUGUUUAGAAAAAGAUUAAAUUAUUUUUUUUUUAAAUUGUUUAUUUUUAAAAACUACUAUCCAUUCACUGAGCUCAUUUAGUUUUUAUACUCACUCUAUUUUUAUUAUAUCUCCCCCCCCCCCCCCAAACAAGAGAUUUGAAGGUACAUUAGUCAACCCAGUAACAAUAGUUAUUUAGAUAUUGUGGCCACGUGAUGGUGCUAGAAGUCGUAAAUUUCUUUUAUAUUCGGGAUAUCGCGAAUUGUAUUAUUUGUUAUAUUUUGUAAUUAAGGAAAACCAUUGUAUUUUAAUAUUAGAAUGAUGUGGGUGAUAUUUGGUAUGUUGAUUUGAGAAGUUGGUUAUGGAGGAUGGUUGGAUAUUGAAUUAUUUUGGGAGUGUUAUUUUGUAAAUUGCAAGUUUGAGGUUGUUAUACUUAUAGGGGAGACUCUGCCGAAUUUUUGGUAAAAUUUUUAAAUAUUAGAUUUAUUAUCGAUUUGAUUAGACGAGUUUAGAUAGACUAGUCCUGGGGGUGCGGGAUGGGUAGUUUCAAAACACAAGUGACUACAACAAUUUUGGGUAGAAAAAAGUUAAAAAAAAAAAAAGAAAAAAGAAAAUUACAAGAGUCGGUACAAAACAGAACAAAACAGAGACAACAGCAGGACAAUUAGAUAGGGAGCAGAGCAAUUCUAAAUAACAAGCUGGAGAUCAAAGGAUGCCAAGUGCUGUUGAGAUUAAAAGAUUGAAAGUUCAAGAGAGUUUAUCGCAAAAACUGCGAAACAAACUGCGCAAUAGUGAGCACAAUAAUUCUUUUGCAAGUAACAUCAUAGAUGAGAAAUUAUCCAGUUCAAGAUCUUGGACUCUCUUAAAUGUCCAAAAAACUUGUUACAACAUAUGGUGUAUGAGUGUGGCGUAAUAGUUAAAUAAUAAUGUUAAAAUUAUAACAAUGUUAAAUAAUAAUGUUCGCAUUUAAUGGCUAGUUUCAUCAUUAUAACAACCAAAACACUAUUGCAUUCCAAUGCAUUUUAACUCAAGGCACGCACGCACGAGCAUGAUUACUGAUUCACACAUGCAUCUUUAAUUAAUUAACUAAAAUUUGGUACUUGAAAAGUCUUUGGGAGUGCCUACAAAUUGAAAUUUGGUACGACAAUUAACGCUAAGAAAUGAAUCUGGCUACGGCAUAUCCUGCAACGACAUGGAUAAAGGACUGUUCCACCAUUCAACCUGAAAUCAUCAAGUGAAAGAAACAAGAUCAUGAGCGUUGUUUUUUUAUAUUGUAAAAAGCCGACUCGAAGUAAUAAUAAUAAUAAUUAAUAGACCUUACCAUUGGUUAUCACAUUAUUGUCCAGUGCAUCUUCCACCCCAUUCCCUGCAUAUAGUUAACCAAGCUGAGGACCAACCACACGGCCACACCAGUAUGUCUCGAGAAUCUUUACUGACUUCUCAUGGAUCUUGUUGUUGUCAUGACUUCGUAGAUUUUCUAUCUUUUCUAAUCCCUCAGCCUCUUCAACCAACUGGGCAUACUGAUUAACAUCUCCAAUGGCUGUGUCCAUAUUCUUUUCAGCUUCCCCGACCUUCAAAAUGUUCUCUAAUCCUUGUAAGCAAACAGUGACGAUCUUUGGAUCAGCGCAAAGAAGGAGAUCACACAAUGGUUUUAUACACCCCUCUCUCACGAGGUACUUGAUUUGCUCAUGAGUGUCAACCUUGGUGGCAUUUGAAAUUGCCCGUGCGGCCCACUCCUUUAUAUCAAAUUCAGCAUUUUGAAGCAGAUUGACAAGGGGACCAAUAAAACCAGCAUCAAUUACCGCCUGAAUCUGUUCCUUGUUUCCAGCUGUGAUAUUUGAAAUAAUCCCGCAUGCAAACUUCUUAAUGCUCUUUUCAUGAUCAUGGAUCAACAGGCCCAAAAGGUACGGCAGUGCACCACAGUUAAUUAUACACUGAGUCUGGAAAUCAUCUCCCCUCACAAUAUUUGUAACAGUCUGCAGGGCAGCAGUAAGCACUGAGGGUGAUGGAUGACCAAGGAGCUCAACAAGUCGUGGACAGACACCUGCCUCAAUCACAGCUUGAAUUUUGUCAUUCUUACGAUCACUAGAAAGACAGAAGAGUGCCCGGCAAGCAUCAGUCAAGACCUGUUCAUCAUUUGAAUGAACAAGCUGCGCAAGCGCCGGAAGAGCUGGUCUCACCUGUUCAAAUAUUGGUCGUGGAUUGCCGCUGCAUAAAUUAGACAACGUCCGUGUGGCUCUUCUCUUCAUUGAAAGGUUUGCAUGGUUAUUUAACAGUGUUAACAAUGGAAUUAGAGCUUCUUCACUAAGCACAAGAUCACGGAAUCUAGGCGAGUCAAUAGCAACAUUUCCCAAUGCCGAAGCAGCCUUCUCCCGGAUAUUAUCUCUUGGAGAAGCAAGUAGUUUCACAAAUAUUGGAACAGCACCGUGGUCAAUCACCACCUUAGUGUCCUCCGAAGUUCCAUAAGCAAUGUUUGUAAGAACCCAAGCAGCCUCAUACUGAAUUUGCGGAUAGUCAUCCCUCAUAAGAAACUCAACAAAGCGCGGGACAACGCCAGAUUUUAUGACUUCCUCAAUUGGUAGACUCCUCUCAUUUGAAAGCAGUUUUCGGAACUGAGUAGUUGCUUCCAGCUGCAAGUUGUUGUCAUCUGACCAAACGCCAGCAACCAUCGCGGGCAAAAUUUCCAACCUAGUUUGGAGAUUGAGAUUGGGGCCAGGAGCGAAAGAAAGAAAUUGCUGGGAUGGAGGAGCUUCACGUCGCUUCUUGAGGAAGCUUUCCUCAUUAAGAUUUACCUGUUCUAUGGUUGUAUUUAAGCCCUCCUUCCAAGCCCAACAUGCUUCAUCCCACAUAUUUAGCUGCACUUUGUGUAACACGGGUGUGCUUAAUUCUCCUCUAGAGAAAAUUUUCAUAUUGGUGCAAUCAUCCACCAGUAAUCUUUCCAAAGAUGGGAAGUUCAAGGCACGACUGCCAGAGUAGAAGCUUCUCAGACUUUUUAAAUUUAAAAGCUUCAACUCUUUCAAUUCGCUGAAAGCAAUAUCCUCAUCUUUCGCUGCAUCAUGAUCAUCGUCAUCAUCUGCCAAUACUAUUUCUGUUAUCAUAACACAUGAUUCUAUCUUCAUUUCUCUGAGUCGCACCAGAGUCUUUGCAAUUGAGGAUGUUAGUACGUUUUUCAAUCCGUCGCAAUACGAUAUCUUCAAAGUUAUAAGAUUCUGAAAGGAUGUCGAGGAUGGCACUAGAUUGAUCAAACGGUGACACUUCGUUACAUGUAGAAUAACCAAAUUGUUCAUAAUAGAGGAGGACUCUUGGCUCAAGAUGUACUUCAGAUCAUAACACUUGAACGCUUUUCUUAUGAUUACCUCCAUCCCAUUUUCAGCCUUUUCUUUUGGCAAACAAUCAUUAUUUCCUUCUAUUUGGAGAACUUUCAGGGUGUGAAAUCUCUGGAGGAAAUCAUCAAGCGAUAAAAUAGUAGUCAACUCAUCAACAAACACAACAUCAAGGCAUUUAAGUUUGCACAGCAAGUCUUCUGAAAAUAUAAAUUUAUUUGUUAUUAUAUACUUUGCAUCUACUAUCAACUCUUCCAAAUUGGGAAACACCUGCGUGAUCAAUCAGAACAAACAAAGAAAAUGCAAAAUGGAUAAGUUUAUAUCCUUUCUAACAAUUUCACAAAAUUAGUACGGUGCUUUUUGGAGGAAAUUUAACAAAAUAGAAAAGAAUUAGAAGCUACCACUAGCUAAUACAAUAUGUCCAUCUGAUAAAUUUUAACCUUUUAGAAAAUAAUAAUAAUACACCCAACAUGCAGAAAGUAUAUACAAGAAUUGAAAAAUUAAUUUUAAAUUUCACGUACCUAUCUAAUACGAUAUGUUUAUCCAAUAAAUAUUAACCUUUUGGAAAAUAGUAAUAAUAAUACACCUAACAUGCAGAAAGUAUAUAUAAGAGUUGAAAAAUUAAUUUUAAAUUUCAUGUGCGUACCUUUUUUGUCAAGUCAUGAGUAGUUCUUUUAAAUCUCACCAUGAACUCAGGACACCGAGAUAUCCAUAAUUCUUUCAAGGAUGGAAAUUCAAGCAUAUGUACAUCUCCUGUGCUGAAGCUUGUGAGUUUUUCAAGAUCAUACAUCUUCAGAUAUUGUAACUGAGGAAACAUUACAAUAUUAUUCUUCCUUUCUUCUUCUUGGUUGUCCAUGACUAUUAACUCUUCCAAGACAUGACAUUUUUCUAUCUCAAUGUAUUGGAGUCGAACAAAGAUGUUAUCGCUAACCGUAGAAGAUGAAAAUAGACAUCUUAAAUUCAUACAGUUGUACAGGGUCAAGUGCGUUAAAUUCUCAAUACCACAAGUCAUGGCUGCAACUUGGUUUUGCCAAAUUCUCUCAAUAUUUAUUGAACGCACCGCCAACUUCUCCAACUUUGGUAACGCAACCUGGUCGAUCAAAAAAUUAACUUCUUGCUUGAUGGACAAAUCAAUAAAAUUCAUCUCUUUGUCAUGUUACAGUUCUCUUCAGUCUUUCAUACAAACAAGCAUCAAUCGAAUUUUCCAAAUUAUUCCUCACUAAUUUGAUAGGUACUCUAAAGAUGUAUAUUCAAGAAAAUGUGAAGUCGUAAAUGCUAAUCAGUUUAUCAGUCAAAAUACAUUUUCAUUAUUAGGAAUUACAAUAUCAACAAUGCUAUAUUGACAAAAAAUUGAGUUACAAAAUUUUCACAAAAACAAAAAAAGAUUGUCAAUAUCUGGGUAGUUAUCAAUCAACUUGUUUCUUGUCAAGACAUUUUAGUAUUUUCAUGCUUUUGUCAAAAUUUAAAAACCCACUUUUUUGGGUCAAAAUAACAUUUUCCUUACAACAUAUUUGGUAUUCCCUAAUACAUAUGUUUAUUAUUAUUAUUAUUAUUAUUAUUAUUAUCAUUAUCAAUUCAUUUAGUUUGUCAAGAGUACCAAUUAUUUUCUCUGAGAAUGCAUUUGUUACACCUACAACAGUUGAUAUUAAAAAUCAUAUAAUUAUUAAUUACGCUUGCCAUAUCUGCAAAAAAACAAGAAUAUCGAAGGAUGAAAAAGCAAAAAUCAGAGAAUUAAAAAGGCCAUUGGGUUAUUAGUAACCAACCUUCUUAAUGAAAAGUGUAUUAGAAAUAUUAACAUUGUCCUCCAAAAUGAUUUCAUUCGACUGCAUAUCAUUUGCUGAUUCCUCCUGUCUCUGUCAACAUUGAAGGCGUCUUGAUUUUAGAGUAUAAAUUUAAUUGUGAGCACAAUCUUUAAAACAACGUGACACGAGGCCUUUAAAAAUUAGUACAACUUAAUUUGGUACUAGAUCGAAAUUCGAUAUUUUGGAUUGCAUGUUUGAGAUUUCGUUAGAAAACAAAAUAAUAAUAACAGAGUUAAUAUAAAAAAAUUAAACUUGUUACCUAUUUAGAUUAGAUAAACAAUGAAUAUUCUCUUAAUAUGAUUAUUCUAAGAGUACGGAAAAUAUAAGACAAUUAAUUAAUUUUAUAUAUAUAUAUAUAUAUAUAUAUUUGUGGUUUUAUCCUGAAGCUAAAAGAUUUAAAUAUUAAUUUAGUUGUCAACAUUAAAGACUUAGCAAAAUUGGUUACUUUGGAAAUGAGCAUGAACAUAACAUUUGAUGAUUUUUUAAAAUUAACUUUGAUGCACAAGAAACUUCUAUUUUUAUUGUAACUUAUAAUAUGACAAAAUGAUGUCAUAAUUUUUAUAAAUAUGAUGCUACAUAGUAGUUUUCUGGUCUAAGAUCUUAAAGUGUGGGAAAAAAAAAAUUUAAAAUCGCGGGGUUUUAAAGGCUUACAACUUGAAAUGCUUAAACCGCACGAUUUAUGCAUUUUCUCGGACGUUCCCGCACUUUAAAAUUCCGGAUUGAAACAUUUCUAUGAUGCUACAUACAUGUUUUAUGAUAUUUGGAUACGAUUUAAGGUCUGAAAAUGGUUUAAAUUCAAGGGUUAGAUCAAUUAAGCUAGGAAAGAAUGACCAAAGUUUUAAUUUAAAAUAAAAUUACCGAUCUAAAUUUGAGAACUCUACACAUAGAAUAAAGAACAAUUACGAUUUUAUUUGAGCUUCUUUAUUAAAGGUUUAUUUUAUGUCAUCCAAGUCUGAUGUCAACAAGAUUUUGUUGUUGGGGAAUAGUAAAAAGUUAUUAAGCUAUUAGAAGUAAAUUUUAUGAUUACAGUAAAAAAGUACUUGAUGUUAUUAUUAUAUUAUUUUGAAUAUUAGAUCCCAAGUGAAAAUUUCCUUCAUACCAAUUAUUUCAAUUAGGAAUGAUCAUACCUUUGACUCUGCCGGCGGAUUGAGGGCGUCGCUGCAACCAUGGAUCCUGAGAAACUUGAGUUCUGAAGAACCCACUUUGGCUAAUUCAUUAGCAAAAUAAUUGACAUCUUGCUCUCGCAAUUCACGUAAUUCAAGGUCUUCAAUUCCCUGCAGUUGCACGAUCAGCCAAUCCUUCAAGCAAAUCUUAUUGUUCAGCCUGAGUCUGAAUUCUCUACGCCAAAUGUUGGUGCUCUCCCAAUACCAAUCUCCAAUACGUAUUCUGUACUUUUCCAGCUUCUCCAAGAACAAGCCUCUGGGCAGAGUGUUGACAUCAUGGAUGUCUAAUUCUAAAGAGGUCAAGUUAGGCAAAUGCUUCAACUCCUCAACGCCAGCAUUCUUAACCCCUUCCACCUCCACCUCCCAUUUUUGAAAGCUUCUACAACUUAUGUAUAGUUCUUCUAAAUGGGAUAAAUUUGAUAAAACAUUUGGUGGGAUAACUUCUAGUUUCCUACAUUCUCUCAAAUCAAGCAAGGUUAGCCAAGUCAAUUGACCUACUUCUGUUGGCAGCUGCUUAAUGUCAGAACCUCUUAAACAAAGGAUUUCUAGUUUCUUCAAGCCUCCUAUGACACUUAUAUCUACCAAUUUGCAAUAACACAAACUCAGUGCUCGAAGGUUUAACAGAAAACCAAGUGUUGAAGGCAGUGACAGUAGAUUCAUGUAAGUCAAGUUUAUAACUCUGACCUGUAUCAUCCCCUUGAAAAAAUUGUUUGGAAUGGUUAAUGAUGAAGAUUCCUUAUCCGCACAUAUAAAAAGAAGUUUGAGUUGAGGACAUUCCACCACUUCAGGAAGCACAUUAGUCUUGAUAUCUUGUAAGACGAUCGAAGUGUAACGCUUUACUGCACUUUCGUCUGACCACACCCUGAAACCAUCAACCUGCUCAUUUGUCGCUGUCAACGCAAUUUUCUCUGUAGAUGCAAUUGAUAUGGCAACAUCGCGAACAACAUCAUGCAUGGAAAAGAACUCUUCACUCUUGCUUAUAUGGUCUAGCAACAUACAAGAAGCUUUGAGUUUGUGCACCAACGUCCGCACUCGAGCUCGUGCUACUUCCAUCUUAUUGACACCUUGAAAUAAACCCAAUCCCAUACCACACAUUAACAAGGCAUCAAUGGAUGAUAUGGCUGUAUAUCCUAUUAGCAAAAAUAUGUUCUUGAGCUCCUCCCCUGCUAAUUUGUUGUAACUCAACUCUAUAGCUUUACACGCAGUUGGCUGUAUGUCUUUGAAGUUCGUUGCGUAUGGCCUUCUUAGUUGUUCCAACGCAUCCUUCCAUUCAAAUAAUCUCUUGUUCCUUAAUGCCCUCGCUAUCGUCACAACAGAAACAGGCAAACCUGCACAUUCCUUUGCCACAUCCCUUGCCACCGAUUGGAAUUCACUACCCUCAAUAUAAUCACCUGCCAUCUUCUUGAAUAGAUUCCAAGCUUCUUCUUCGUUUAAAACACCAAUUGAGAAAUUUGAUCGAGAAUCCAUCUUCCCAGACAAUAGAUCUAGACUUCUGGCCGUCAACAGUACUUUACAACCUUUAUGACCAUCUCCAUGAGGAAUUCCGACAACCCGCAAAUUAAGAUUUUCCCAAAUGUUGUCUAAAAUUAUCAGGAUCUUCUUCUCUGCUUUUAUACGUUUAAAUAAGCUGUUUGCCCUUCCUGAUUCACUUUCCUCAUGAAACUUCAGGCCUAAUUUAUCUGCUAUUUCUCCUUGAAUCUUUCGUAUGUCUUGAUUCUGGGACACCUCAACAAAAACCACCAGAUCAAAGAGUUUGUCACUCUUGACUUUCCUAGCAAUUUCUUCCGCCAGCAUCGUCUUUCCGAUGCCACCCAUCCCAUAAAUCCCAAGCAUGUCGACAUCAGGAUCUUCUAGUGCACUGAGUAUAUUCCUCAAAGUGAACAUUCUUGAUUCAAAGGGCUCGUAGUCUUUGUUAGAGAUAAGCCGUAUAUCCUCUGGAGCAGUACAGUAGGAAAUUCUAUCAAAUCUUCGAGCAUCUCGGACAUUGACAACAGCCUCCUUCUGCCUCUCUGCUUCCUUGCUAAGUCGACGGCGGGUCUGCAAAUCAGGACAUAACCCCUUGAAACAACGCUUAUUUGCAGUGGCUUCGUCUUUUGUAAAAUUAUCUGCCGCUUCAAUGACAUUGUUGGCCCUUGCAAGCCAAUUCACAACGUUCUCUUCAAUCUCUUCUCCUUUUCUUUUAGCCUCAUCAACCUGGUGCUGUGUACGCACCCUCUCAGACUUCAGAUUGUCAACUUCAGUCUUGAGAUUCUGUAAGUUACUGGUGUACUUACUCUUGCGCCAAUAGCAAAUUCGGCGAUAUGCGGGAGGAGCCACGCGCUUUACAACUUCUACAACAAUAGUAAGAAUGAUUUCAGCCAUCUUCUGUCCUUUUCCUCUCUCUUUCUUUUUGUGAAUUUUUGAAAAAUAAUUGACCCAGUUAUGAAGCAAACUAAGUGAUUAAACACAAGUGACUACAACAAGAUGGGGCAGAGUAAGAAGACAAUAGAAAGAGUAGAGACAGAAUAAAACAGAGACUAGACAAAGAACAAAGCAAAACCAGGUAACAAGACUGAAGAUUACAACAAACAGAGGCCAAAUUCGAAAGAGUUGAUGGCAAAAGCUGAAUACAAAAACAACAACGAACACAAUAAACAGAAGCAAAGUGUGUUUCUGAUCAAAGGAUGAAAAUACUAAGGAAGGGUUUGUUUUGUUGUCUGGAAAUGAAUGCAAAGAAAGACUGAUAUUAAAAAAUGAUCUCAAUAAUGGAGGAGUGACUCAACUCUGAAAAACAAAGUUUUGUUGUAUUCUUUUUAACUUUUUGUUGUGGUAGAGAACGGAGAUUAAGGAUGAGAUUAAAAACUAAAAGUGACCCCUCUGUCUUUUGGAAUUAAUUAAUCAUCUUAGUUUUAUGGCCCGUGUUUAGGGAAUGAAAUAGGGUGACCAAGAUAAAGGUGUUUACUCAUACAUUAUCGUGCUCUCCUCAAAGUAAAAGUGAGCAAAUGGUUGAGCAGAUCAUCUCGACCAGGAUGUUGUUUGGUGACCUCGAGCACAUCACCUCGACCAGGAUGUUAUUUGUCACCUCGAGCAGAUCAUCUUGACCAGGAUGUUAUUGGUCACCUCGACCAGAAUAAUAUGUGGUGACCUCGAGCACAUCACUUGGACCAGGAUAUUAUUGGUCACCUCGACCAGAAUAAUAUGUGGUGACCUCGAGCACAUCACCUCGACCAGGAUAUUAUUGGUCACUUCGACCAGAAUAAUAUGUGGUGACCUCGAGCACAUCACCUCGACUAGGAUGUUAUGGGUCACCUCGACCAUAAUAAUAUGUGGUGACCUCGAGCACAUCACCUCGACUAGGAUGUUAUUGGUCGCCUCGACCAGGAAGUUACUUGGAAGCACGAUUCAGUCAAAACAUUUUCUCCGAAAUGUUAGGGACCAUGUUCUUAGUGGGCUGAAAAUUAGUAGUUUUCUUGAGAAUUUUAGGGGAGAGGAUAAAAACCACUAUAAUUUCCUAUAAAAACCCUAGGAAGGGGAAAGAAGAGGGGGGGAUUCUUCUAGCUCUCUCUUUCUCUCUCUAUCUCUCUCUCUCUAAGCAACUGAACCCAUUGGACCUUUUUCUCUGUCUACCACAGAGAAAUCUCUCUUUCGCCUGUGAUUUCUUUAAGAUUGAUUAUUUUGAAUUAUUCUCCUUUAAAUUUACUUAAAAUCUUUUUGUUUAAAGCAAUCAUAAUUAAGCCACAUGAAUUGUGGUAUGAGUUUUUCCAAGUAAGACCUGCAUUGCUGACUUGAGCGUCGGAGGGUUCUCGCCGGAAAAACUUCCGGCACCUCCUGACUGUUGGUUGUGUUCACAGGCUCACAGGUUAUCUGCUCAUGGAUCGUCUGCUCAUGAGUUCUCUGCUCAUGGAUUAUCUGCUCAUGGGUUAUCUGCUCAUGGAUCGUCUGCUCACGGGUUAUUUGCUCAUAGAUUGUCUGCUCAUGAGUUCUCUGCUCAUGGAUUGUCUGCUCAUGAGUUCUCUGCUCAUGGAUUAUCUGCUCAUGGGUUAUCUGCUCACGGGUUAUCUGCUCAUAGAUUGUCUGCUCAUGAGUUCUCUGCUCACGGAUCGUCUGCUCAUGGAUUGUCUGUUGAUGGGUUGUCUGCUCACAAAACAUCUGCUCAUAGAAAAUCUGCUCAUGGUGCUAACUAAUCAUCAGUUUCCCACCAAACAAACUUAAUGAUGAUGCAGGGAUUUGAGAUCUGACCAACUCCUUCGGAUUUUGGCAUCAACAGCCGGCUAACCUUUGUCCGUCGGAUUAGGGAACAGAAAUCCAAACGGUGGAGAUCACUUGCUGAAACCAUGUCCCUUUGUUACUUUAAUGAAAAUUUCUAAGUGCUGAUAAAUAAACCAGGUAGAUAUGGUAGAUAUUUUGAAGUAUAAAAAGUGAAAAACGGAGCCUUUACCGAUGGUUUGCUUUCUUAUUCAUCUUUUCCCUAGGCUUAUUACUCUUUUAUUAUUUAAGUUGACUGGAAAUGAAUCCAAAGAAAGGCUGAUAUUAAAAAAUGAUCUCAAUAAUGGAGGAGCGAUUCAACUCCGGAUAAUAAAGUUUUGUCGUAUUCUUGUUAACUUUUUGUUGUGGCAGAGAACGGAGAAUAAUGAUGAGAUUAAAAACUAAUAAGUGACCCGUCUAUGUCUUUUGGAAUUAAUUAAUCAUCUUAGUUUUAUGGCCGGUUAACCGUUGUCCGUCGGAUUAGAGAACAGAAAUCCAAACGGUGGAGAUCACUUGCUGAAGCAUGACCCUUUGUCACAUGUAACUAUGUAAGAAAUGUCCAAGACCGGUAAUUGACCGUUAGCAUCAUGCCAGUGUAGUAGAGGGGAAGCGUCUUUUUACACAACUCAUGUAUAUUCAUUGGAAUAUGGAGUGCCAAAUUAUUAUUCUAAAAAACUUUGAACACCAAAAUAUGUAUUAAACCCCAUUACUCCAUAAAAACAUCAUUAAUCUAAAAUUUUACCGUAUAAAUACACAUUAAUACCCUAAAUACCCUUAAUAAGUUAAUUAUCAUAAUCUCUCUUAUCCUUUUUCCUUCACCACCUUUUCUAACCUUUUAUUAGUUAUGUUUUGAACCCAAACCCUAGGUUCAUCCUUUUUAAUUUUUUUCAGUAGGUUUUUGCCCUUGAAUUCUAAAUAUAUUGUUACAAAUUAUUCCAAACGCAUGAAAUGCCGAGAAAAGAACAACUAAUAAUAAAAUUACAUUCCUAAUUAGGAUACUAACCAAAUUCAAGCAGUUAAAGAGGUUGUUGAAAAGUCAAAGAAUUACUUUCCAAUUUCAAAAGGCCAAGUUGGUGGGUUUGCCAAAUUCAAAAAAGCAAAGAUGGUCGGCUUGCUAAUUUCAAAAGACAAAGUUAGGUGUUGAAAAACUUGUGCAUGCAAUACAAGAUCCAGCUCAACGUUUUGACCAAUUGAACCCAACUUGGAGCAGAAUGCACUUUAUAAAUAGAGAAGCAUUUUGCAAUUGUAAGCAUCCCGAAUUUGAGAGAAGUAGAGAGCAAUUGCAAGUGAGUUCUUUGAGAGAAUUUGUGAGAGCUUCCACUUGAGUGUUCUAGUGAGGUUCCAUUUGGGUGUAUGGGGGUUGUGGGUUUUGUGAGUUUUUCCAACUUUUGUAAAUUCCCAUUUGUUAGUAAAAUUAUCUUCUAGUUUUUUGCUCGUGGCCGUAGGCAUUACGCCGAACCACGUAAAUUAUUGUGUCUUAUUUUUCUUUACAUUUGUUUAACACAACAUUUAUAUUUCUCCAAAAGUUGCAGUAUUAGUAAUUGCUCAACCCGCGUUUCCACAACAAGUGGUAUCAGAGCCGACGGUUCGUACUUGGGGGAUACAGUACUAUUCACGUAUACGGUAUUGUUCAUGUAUACGAUACUAUUCACAAAUACGGUGGAGACGACCAUUUAUACUUGGGAGACAGUCUAUUGUAAGUAGUGUGUAUUUUUGCAUGUCUAAGAAAGUUCUGUCAACAAAGGCGAUAAGAGUCUAAGGAUUCUGGUUUUUAAUUGGGACCGAGUUCCCAUCAAGUCUUCUAGGAACUUUUCUGGUGCAUUUAUUCACGCGAAAUAAACAUCA
rnacentral:lncRNA from 1 species